rnacentral:lncRNA from 1 species
AGCUCUAAGUAUCUAUAACCUAUAUGAAGCUAUAAUAUUUUUUGCCACGUGGCAUGUUACCUUUAAUUCUCAUAGCCUCACUUUAAAUCAAACCACUCUUCUCUAAAUUGAAUCUUUCCCGCCGUUUCUCCUCUUCUCAACGUCCAACUCUUCACCUCCCCCGUCCUCUAAUUACAUGCAAGGUGCAAUAUUUAAUUACAUGCACCAUAUUAAUAUUCUGUCAAUGAGUGGGCUUUGUAACUUUAAUCCACUCCUCUCAUCCAUUAAUCCCCUACCCCUCUCUUUUAUAACUCUUUUGCAUGUACCAUAAAAAAAUAUCAGCGUCUAAUCUCCCACCCCACACUCAUCUCUCUUUUUCUCUCAUUGUGUUAACGAAGAUAAUGCGGACGAAGAAGAAGAAUAAGAAGAAGGAGAGCCUGUGAAGAACGUUGUCUCCUUUGAGAAGCAUCGUCCCGUGUAGCUGAGCUGCGGCCUAUAUAAGUGCCCGCUAAGCCGGUCCGUGCCGGGGCCCCCGCUCACCAUGAACCGCCGCCGCCCCGGCUGCCUCCUCGCGUGGCUCAUGUGUGCCCACAACUGGGCCGAGACGAGCGGCGUCCUGAGCCUCCUCGCAGGAGCUCGCUUCUUGAGGAUCGUAGGAACUUCUUGGUAAAUCUAAAUUGUUUGAGAAUUUGAAUUUCUGUGGUUGAUGUGAUGGCAAGACUAUGUCGGUUUAGAUAUUACAGUUUGGUGAUACAAAUGAGGUGUUUGUUUAUAGGUCGCAAUGAAAAUCCAGAAGCGACUCGGCAUGGGGAGCAACUCUUAGCUAAAAAUUAAGAAGAUGUAUGAUGUUUGGUUAAGCAAGUUCGCAUGGUUGAAGAAGUACUCAUAUUAGUUUUUUUUAUUUAUGUUUUUGUUUUAUUUUUAUCCUAUGACCAUUUUUUUGAGUAGGCGCUGUUAUGGGCAAAGUCCCUUUCGUAGAUUAAGAAGUAUGAUGUGGAGACUGGAAUCUGAAAUCUCACCCAAAUUUAUUUAAGCCAUAUACGUUAACUUAUUAUUUAUGUGUUUUAUAUCCUUAAUCUGUUUUGAUACUUGGACAAAGGUGCUUGAUUCAGCUGAAGCUAGCUCUUUUUUUAUCUUUCACAACGAAAUGAUCAAGAGGCAUAUAAUACGAUAAAAUUGUAUGUCUCUUAUUAUAUUUCGAUGAUUUAAAAAAAAUUAUAUAAACUUACUUUUCUUCUCUAGCCACUUUUCUUACUUAAUACAUUCUUUCUUUGUGUCGCACGUUACAGUAGAAAAAGCAUUUGACUUUGUAUUUACCACCAAAAUUAUAUAUCCUAGCUGAUGGAUUAGCUUUCGGCAUCUUCAUGAAGGGUCCUCCCUUACCUUUUUCAACUUUGGAAGUAUAAUAAGAGAAAUGUGCACUUUGCACUCUCUCUCCUUUAGUUCUCUUUUUUUUUUGAACAUACAUUAACAGUAGGUCAUUAAUAGACCAUUUCUCCUUCUGUGUUUUAUAGAAGAUCUUAAAAAGACUGCACUCAGUCGGUAGGGAAUUUAAUAUAAUGUGAACAAAAAAAGUUUGAGAAAUAGUAAACUCCAUCUUGUUCAACUGAAAAGUAAUAUCUUUUAUCUACAUAAUGUGCUCACGAAUGCUCAUUGAGCCCGAGUAUUUCACGGAAGCCAUCUUAGACAAUAGGGUGCUUGCUUUAGCUUUGUCAAAAUUGACAAACUGAUCCUCUAUGGCCUUUACAAAAUUUUUAGCUGUUGCGCAAAUGGGAAUAGAGCCACAAAUAUUCUUGCCAAUAUGAACCUGCAUAAGCAUGAAGCUAAGCCUAUUCGAUUUCUCUCAUAUCUCAUGAAAGGCUUUUUCACCAUCAAUGCUUUUAGCAUUAAGUGGAGAUGGUUUAUCCACUCGAAAAACCAAGUUGAAAUCCAUGCACCCUAAUAUAAACAUCAUUUAUUCUUUCCAUUUAAAAAAAAUUGGAUCCAUUUAAGGAAUGCGAUUGCCAUUAUCCAUCAUAGCAGAUGUAGGAAUAACUGCAAAUAAAUAAACAUACCCACAUUAUGUAAUAUACCGAAUCUCUGAGUUACGAUGCUAACUUUGAUCUAAUUGAUCAAAGUGAGGCAUGAGCGUGAUGUGUGACGUCCCCGAUCAUUUUGGAAGCGUGGGGAUGAUUAGUUGUGAAUUUCGGAUGUAUUUAUGUGUUUUCGGCUCAAACUGGGCGCGAAAAUAGAUCCUGGAACUCUGCUGCUGUGAGACUGCAGCUAAGGCAUUAAGUGUUAGAUGUAUUGUCACGCCCCCGCCCCGAGGCCGCUAUCAAUUUCGUCCGGUCCGGGCGCGGCGGACGGAAGCCGAACGGACAGGACCUCCCCUGUCCGCCCAAGGUCAAACAACUAGAUCAAGUACAAUUAAAUGCCCAGGAAAUGCUUAAAUAACAUACAUGAUCAAUACGAUGCACACAAGUGCACUAUAACUAAGAGCAAGAACCACGAGUGCAUAUACAAGUGUAUAAAGAGAGAUUGUCUAACUAUUACAACCAUUCAAUAGUUACAUCAUUUGGUUACAUUAUAUUUUCAUCUUCCAAAAUGUAAAUACAUGUUUUUCCCAAAAUACAAGUAGCUCUCCAUGUCUAUCCAAAAUAUACAUCUUCUAGUACACGAGGGUACUCUAUAUGCAAAAGGAAAGCUACUAACUACUCACUUAGGGCGCUAUGCCCUUGCCGCGAUCCUCGCUCGGCUAGCCCCUGUGUGUACCUGUACCCCAAAACCACAUAGGGUGAGAACUAUCUAAAUAUAGUUCCCAGUGGGUUCGGCCGCCGACUCCGCCGAUUUUCCCAUUAGGUCUAAGCUGGCACAGAUAGGGAGAUAGAUAGAUAUAUAGAGAAAUGAACUGCAACUACUCUAUCAUGCCACCAAUGAUAACGAUGCAUGCAACAACUACUAUCAUGCUAGUAUCAUAUCAUGAGUAUAGCAAUGCAAUCUACAACAUACACUAUGUCUACUCAAGGUAAUAACGCAAGUCUACUAUGCAUUUCAUGUUUAUUACCCAAUCUACUUGACUAACCCGUAGGUUAAACCCUCGACUCACUCUCAAUCUUAUAGGUGAGGAGAAGCUGCACUCGCACACCGAGACCGUCUGCGGGACAACUACGUCUGCCCCUAGUGAAGUACUCCGGAGACUUGUGCUUCGGUGGAGCGACCACCGACAAGCGAAAACAGACUAGUGAGUAUGAUCCAAUCCUCUCAAGAGGAUACCCUAUCAACAAGGGUCAGAGUGUCUCUGCUGCACCAUAUACAAUGCAUCCUAGAUGCCGGGAUCUCUACUGUCCUAAGGACCAUGUCAUGUUUACUAUACUAGACUCGAUGCCACUCGUUUAGUCAUUGUAGUAAUGUUCUUUAACUAGUUGACAUGCCACUCGUCCAAUUAGUGUUUCUACUACACUAGUUCAAUGCCACUCUACUAGGCUAUCAUAUGUCCAAGUUCGGCUCUUUAUGUCAUUAUAGGAUUUCCAUGUCGCAAGACCCAAUCCUCAUGCUACCCUAGUCCAUGAGUCCAACUCAUAGUUACACUACUAAGAAGCAUGCAAGGAAUUAGAAUUUGCAACUAUCUACUAAUCCUAUAAUGCAAUAUGAUCAAGCAUAUAUAUAACUUAGACAUAAAAAGAAACCCGGAUGCUUCGGGAUGACACCCCCCACCUCUUGAGGGUACAAGGGUUCUAGAAAUGCCCUCGAACGGACUUUACGACGAGGCUUUAGCCUUCUUGGUCCAAAUGAAGCUUGGCCGGUCUUGUUUUGCCAAUAUCCUUUCACCCGCUUGACAAAUGAAAAAUCCGACUUCGCCUCUGCAUUUAGACACCUAGCAAUUAGGUUAGAGGAGGGUCAAAUGAGAUCAAUCCUCUACUUUUCCAAAAACCCUAAUUUGUGUGCCCUAGGGUUAGCACUAUGCAAACCCACUUCAAAACCUUAGGUUUCUAGCUCUAAUCCCACCAUUCAUGGUGCUAGAGAUCCAUUUGGCCUCAUCCCAAAGCCAAAACCCAAAAACCCUAAGUUUCAUAAGCUAGGGUUGGAAGCUUACCUCUAUGCUAGCUUCAAAGAGAGAAGAGAGGAAGAGGGAGAUGUCCAAAGCUUCCUCUAGCUUGAUCUCCUUCUUCUUCUCCUUCAUUUUCUUCCUUCUUUUCUUCUCAUUCUUCUUCUUCCUUCUCCCUUGUUCUCUCUCUUCUAGAGAGAGAAAGGGAGAAAGAGAGUGUGAGAGAAUGAGGGGGAAAUGACAGGGAAUGAGAGAGAGGAGGGGACCCAUACACCUCAUAUUGUAACAAUAUCCCAACAGCCCCCUCAACUUUUGCCUCUAUGCACUGCCUUUACUGGGCAUUCUGCGCGCGGAGGGACCGAUCUCCCCGACCUGGGACCGGUCCCCGAGAGCGGGAUUUUCAAGACUUAGCCAAAUUUCUGGCUUUCUCGCUGGGUUCGCGUUCGGGGACCGUGUAAUAUAUGGCAACUUGGAGUUGCGAUGUCAACUUUGAUCUAGGGGAUCAAAGUGAGGAUUGAGCUAGUUGGACAUCAUCCCCGAGUGAUUUGUGAUGCGUGUGAAUGAAUUCUGGAGAUAAAUAAGUAUUUCGGCACAAAUUGGGCGCGAAACAAAAUGUAAAGAAAAUUUACGGAUUUCCGACGCUAACUUUGAUUAAAAGAAUUAAAGUGAGCAAAAUAAUAUAAAAAUGGUGUGAGAUAAUAUUUUAUUAAACUUAAGGGUGUAAAAUAUAAGUUUGGAAUGACUCGUGUUGGAAUCGGAGCGAAAACAGAAGAUUUAGAAUUUUCUGUAAAGAACGGGACUGAUAAAUUAGCAGAAAAUGCACAGUGUCAGAAAAUUAUGAAAACUGGAGGAGAUGUCAGAAAUAUUUUUAUGAGGCUAGAUUUGAAGUUUUAUAUUAUUCUGACACUUGUAGAGAGAAAAAUAGCAUCCGAAAGUUAUCUGAUAAAGAUUAUAGUUCGGGACAGUUUGCAGUGACCAAACAGGGUCGGAACUGAAAUGUUAAAAUUUUUUUGGACUUAUUAAGUAAAACCGGACAUGGCUGUCAAAUUUGAGCGCAAAUAGACAUUCAGAAGGGCUCCAAUUAAAUGUAUCAGACUAGAAUUGGGCUAAGUGAUAAUAAUUGAUGAUUUGUGGACCUAAAGGCAAUUGUUACAUUGCUUACAAGGACUUCCACUAGGCUGCCAGGGGACUUCCAUUCUUAUCCUCUCCCUGUACGCAUGAGAGAGAGAGUGAAAGGAAGAGAAAAGGGAAUAGAGAGAAGAAGAAGAAGAAAGUAACAAAUUUUGGUGCCGUUUGUCGUUUGUCGAGCCGAUCGAAACGCCGCGCAUCGGAUUUUUAGCAUUUCGACAUUCGGGUUAGUAUUAUAAUAUUAUUAUAAUUUCAAACCAGAUUUUUUGGUGGAUUCUUGAUAGUGGAUGUUCGGAGAGGUCAUUUUGAUGGAUCUAUGUUGAAUCUAUGCUAAAAUUGAAAUUUAGAAAUCGAUUUCUAUGUGAUUUAGGAGCUGAUUUUGCGAGCGUUUCGUCGACGGAUUUUUCCGUGAGUUUCGGAUUGUUGUGGCUGCCAUGCGGAUUGGGUUUGGGCUGUUAGGUAAUUCCAGAGCAAGGUAAUAAUAUGCUGUUCUUUUGCUAAAGAAUUUAGAUGUGCAUGUUAACAACCUGCAUGUAAGCUUGGAUUAGUUGUAUAUAUGGUUAUAUGAAGUCUGGGGUGAUGUGAAGUAGGUAGGAGUGAUCAUGACAGAAAGCUAAUUUCUUAUACUCUUAAAUAGUGGGUUCAUGUUCUUGAGUUAUUGGAGUUCUGAAAAUCUGAAGCUUGCUUUUGUUAUGUAACCUGGAAAAAGGCUUCAUAUGUACUAGUACUAUGUGUACACUUUAAUAGUUGGGAAUUAAAGAAGCUAUCAUGCAGAUUUUAAUUAAGAGGUUGAUGUAAAAUCCUCUAAACUAAUUUGUUUGAGGUUCAUGGGGAAUUAAGGUGAAUUAACCUAUAAUUCCUGGUUAAGACUUGGGUUUGUUGAAGACUAAGGCAUAUGCUGCCAUGAAGACUAGAGAAGAGCUUUAUGUUGAACCUAAACCUGAUAAUGCUAACUUGUAGGUUCGGAAGCUUAGCUCGGAAUUGAUCACCUGUCAACCUAAUUGGGGGUAAAGCGAACGCGUUGGAAAACUCGGAUCGACGUUCCGACGAGUCUACGGCACGCUAACGAGGAAAACCUCCUUUUAGCCUAAGUUAUUGCGAGCAAGGAUUGUGAUCAUUCGUAAAGUGCGGCAAGUGGAAUUUUGGCAUUCCAAUAUCAAGUAAAGGUGGGUUGUGCUUUACCGAAGUGAUUAGGUCACUUCCAUGCCAAAGUAAAGUAUAAUUAUUUUGACGCAUACAUGUAUAGUGGUAGAUUGUGAGUAAUAAUAUGAAAGCUUAAAUCGUAUUGUAUCAAUCAUUGUUAUCUACCAUUAGAAUAUGCAUGUCAAUAUCUUGUGGAUAAUACCCGAUGAUGCAUGAAUAUGAACAUAAUGUGAGCCUGUUAGAAUCAUACAAGCAGAAUAUGGGUCGAUAACUCUAAAUUGAUUAGAGAAUCCGACAGUUACAAAUGAGAUUGUGUAAGCAAUAAUCCUAGAUAUGGACAAUUAGGAUAAUACAUAGAUGUUAGAGCAUAUAUGAUUGUUGACAUAUUAUGAUAAUCGACAUAUGAAUAUGAAUGCUAGUUGCAUAAGAUUAAACAUGUAUGAAAGUGAAUGCUAGAGACAUAUGAAUAAAUACUUAUGAAUGUGAAUCUCAUGCUAGAUGAUAUAUGAUGAUUGUCAUAUGACGAACAUACUAGACGCAUACGAAUGCAUUGUAGUUCAUGCUAAAUGCAUAGGAAUGUCGGUAUAUGAACAUAUGAAUGAUAAAUGAUAUAUGAAUGUUGAUACAUAGACUAAAGUCAUGUAAAUUGAACAUGAAACGGGUAAACUAUAAUCGUAGACGUGGAUAACUAGGAUAAUAAAUAGAUCGAGUGGCAUGAACCUAGUGUUAUUAAACAUAGGUUGGACAUGGAAUGAACCUAGUGUUAUUGAACAUAGGUUGAAUUAGUAAACCUAGAGUCGAAAUCUAGGUGAAAGAACAUGAAACCUAGUGUAAAUGAAUCUAGGUUAUGAGGUGUAGUGACACUUAGUAAAAUUGAACUAAGUUAUGAAUUAUAGUGGUAGUAGGACCACUAGAAAUUGAAUGAUAUAGACCUUGGAAGGUCGUCAGCAUAGGGUAAGUGAUUAAACCCUUAAGUUGUGAAAGUGGGUUCCGGAAUCCAGUGCUGUUGGCAUAAAGUGAAUCAGAACUACGGGAUCGACGGUUCUCCUCUCCCAGUAGUGAUUCAACGGGAUCGAUGGUUCUCCUCUCCCGGUAUGCUAGGAAACAAGUGAAUCAGAACUACGGGAUCGACGGUUCUCCUCUCCCGGUAGUGAUUCAACGGGAUUGACGGUUCUCCUCUCCCGGUAUGAGCUCAACGGGUUUGACGGUUCUCCUCGCCCGUUCAGCUCGAGCGACUUAGGGUCACGGGGAUCGACGGUUCUCCUCUCCCUGUGAUGGACCUAGUGUCGCGUGGACUUAAGGCUGAGGUGCUUGUGAAAUAUCCUUCACCUCGAGCCUGACUUGACGCGGUACUCCUGGGUUGAUUGACUCAAGACCGAGUCGAGUGGCUAGAUGGCUAAGGUAAAAUAACUUUAAGAAAGAAUCGCCAGUGGGCAUAAUAUGAUAAAGAACAGAAAAUAAAGAAUAAAGAGAGUAGCUAAUGAACGUGAAUAGCUAAUAAAGAAAAGAACGGCUACAAGUAAAAAAUGGUUAAUGAUAUAAAGUAGAAUCAAGUAAUCUACUUGCAUGAUUUACAGGUAUUGCAUAUUGCAAUACAGUUGCGAGGCAAGGCAUGGUUUUACUUAUUUGCAUACAUAGUCAAAUAUAUGUCUAUCUGUUUAUUAAACUAACCUGCAGUUGCCUCCUUUGGACCUGGUGGGUCGAGCUCUUCUCUUGGGUGGCCGUACCCACUGGGAACUAUAUUUAUAUAGUUCUCACCCCCGUGUGGUUUUUGGGGGUACAGGUUCGCACGCGAGCGGCGGAGCGGCGCGAGGACAGGGCGUAGCUUCGUAGAUAGCGCCCUACCACCGAGACCAGAGAUAGCAGUACCCUGAAGCAGUCUAGCUCAGAGUUCAGGUUGAAAGAAACAAAUUUGUAGUAAAUUGUAUAAGUUGUAAAUUGGAUAAAGAUUUAUGUAAUAACAUAAAGGCAUUUGUAAUAUUCUAAAUGUAAAAUCUGUGAGAUGAAUGCUUGUAAUAGCAUAGCUAGCAUUUUAUAUUUUUGAUACUUAUACAAUCUAUGUUUGAAUGAUGUUCCUAGUUGGGACCUCUUCUAUUGUAUCAUAUGGAUUGUGACGCCUAGGACGUACAGGGAAAGUUCUGUCCGUUCGGCGGCCUGUCGGCAUGCCCGAAUCUGACCAAAUUGGCGGAGCUCGGGGCGUGACAGAUUAAGUGGUAUCAGAGCAUAAAAAGAGUAAUAGAAACGGUUUAGAUGGACCUAGGAGACCUAGGAUAGUAAACCGUAAGGAUUUAUAGUCGUGAGAGACGAGGACUUGUGACGUGUGGCGAAAGAUAAAUCGAUUGGGUCAAGUUUAGUAAACCUCUAAGACGGAUAUUAGAGGUAGAUUCAAGGUUCAGUUUAUUCUCAGCCAAGUGAGUUCAUGUUGGGUCGACACAACAUGAAACCGAGGGAUGGGAAUAAGCUUCCUUGCAUGACUUUCGCCCGAUUUGAGUCGGUAUUAAUUAUUUCGUAUUUGACCCAGAGGGUCGAGGACUAACUGAAUUGUCGUGUUUCAGGAAGCGAUGGCACCGCGUAGGCGAUCUUCGUUUAGAUCGGCGCAGGAUGGGACAGAUGGUGUCCCUGAGCAGACUGAGGCGAGCGGAGACUUGGAGCUUCGCGAUCAGUUGGCCACACUCGUGGGAGUGGUGAGGCAACAAGUGGAUGUAGUGCAACGUCAGCAGGACGCUGCUCUGCGCCAAGAUGAGUGGAUUAAGAGACUCCAGGAGACGGUGGAUCAGUUAGUGACCGCACUAGUUUCGGCUCGUCGUGUACGGCCGGGAGUCGCGACGGAGGCAUUUCCGUCGGGGUCAGGUAAUCCGAUUGCUGUUAGUUCAGAAAUGAAAGCUGAAAGGGAGCGAGCUUUGGCGGCUCUUAUGACCUUUAAGAAGUUUGAUCCGCCUACUUUUGAUAGAGAAGAUAUAGACCGGUGGACCGUAGAGUUGUGGAUCGACUCCAUGGAGACUUUGUUUGAGGAUUUGUACAUUGUGGAGCGGGACAAGGUACACUUAGCCGUACAUUGUUUGCAACGGUCAGCGAAGGUGUGGUGGAAAGACAUCAAACGGAAUCGAUCGCCUAGUCUUCCUUCUAUGGUUUGGGAAGAGUUUCGGGAAUUAAUGCGUUCAACUUAUUUCCCCGAUAGUGAAAAGAGGAAGCUUCGGGACAGGUUUCAGAAACUACGGCAAGGAGACCGCUCUGUGAGGGAAAACGAAUGGAGUUUUCCCGUAUCGUGAGCUGUGUUCCGAACAUGGUACAAGGUGACAAGGAUCGAGUUGAUUGUUUUGUACGAGGACUUCGGCCUGAUAUUUUCACAGCGGUGCAUAAUCUUAAAUUGCAGCCUUUUGCUGAAGUUUUGGAUCGGGCCCUAUGGAUAGAGCAAGGCAAUGCUUUCGUGUGUGAAGAGCAUGAGUCUAAGAAAUGUAAGCAAGGAGGGAUGAGGCCACUAACAGAUAAUUCAAAUGAACAGUCAAGUUCUGGACACCACUCGACAUCGUCCUCUACCCGAUCAUCUCCAAGAUGUGUGAUUUGUGGUGGUUCCCACUGGGCACGACGUUGCGUGCAGCGGGAAGGAAAGUGCACUCGAUGUGGACAACCGGAUCAUCCAGGUUAUGAGUGUCCGCGAGGCGAUAGCCAAGCCUUGACGCUGGCGACAGCAUUUUCCUCUCCGGGACAGCCUGCGGGUGUGCCACCUGCGGUACGGUCUGGAGGGCGACUGAGGAUAAGGCAACCGAGGGGUUCGCGACGGGCAGCAAGUGGCCGUGGAUAGGCGACCCAUGUGGUGAAACUUGCUGCGACUGGUAGCAAUGUGGCAGGUAUGAGUUAAUUACAGCAAGCAUGUUUUCUGCAUUAUGUAAGUUUCAUGCAUUGUAUGCAUUGAUUAGGUGAUCUGUCCCUACUAUUUAUGCCUUAAUAUAGUAGUGAUCAAGUGAACGGAUAAGUGUUAAUGCCGGGUAUGCUUGUGUGUGGGAAUGUAAUACCUGCUGGAGCAAGUAGAGAGUCUGAGAGCACUAGCAAAUUGCUUGUGAUAGCCUGUGGAUAAGAGGUGAGAUUCGCGAUAGAAAUGGUGAUGACGAAUUAAGUUUCAAAGCAAUGCGAGUUGCUGAUUGCGAGAGUCUAGUCGCAAUGUUCGUGGAACUCUUGUGAGACCGAGCGUUUUGCAGAUUGUUCCAGUAGAUCGAACAGUGAAAGUAGAAUCGCUGUUGAAGAAAUGAUCGGUUAGUGGUCAAGUGCGUGCACAAGGACCCAGUAGUACCUCGGAUUGAGGUAAGUGGGUCGUGCUCGUGUAGUCGGUGUGCAUAGGCAAGAGUUGCCUAAUGCUAGACCUAGUAUGACACGCGAUAGAGUCGUGUAGAGCGCUCGAGUGUAGGUGCUCAUAGAGUGUAGAUUUGAUUCAGCCGUGAGUGAGUUGGCAGUAGCACGUUAGCAUUGCUAAGUGUGAAGCGUGCCAGAGGUCACUCGUAGGGCUGGUGGCUCGCACUAGGUGCGUAGGAGCCGGUAGUGUUGUGUGUCACUCGGUAGCACGCGUCGUGUAAGACGACAAUUGUGGAUAGUGCUUGGUGACGACCCGUGCCUGGACCCUUUGUGGACUGUGGAGCCUAGGCCCAUUGGGCAGGCGUAGUCAGCUGCGAGAGGCAGCGGCCCGGUACCUACGGGUAGGGCAGAGAUUUGGUCAGGACGGUAGUCCGAGCUUGGAUCGGUAACAUGGUAGGUCAUGUAUUGGAUCGUGUUGUUGGUAGUAUGCCGGAAAGCCAGAUUUGACCUAACCCUAGCAAAUUAAAUUGCUCCCAGUUGGAGCAGGUAUGCGAUGUCUCAAAUGAGAACUAUGUCUCGUGAUAAUUGGGUCUACGCUUGCGAGCGAGAGACGUUGAGUUAAGUGAUAGGACUAGCAAAUCACCGAUCCGAUUUGCGAACAGAUCUGUGGUAAUUGAGACAAGUAGUUUACCCAUGUGCAUUGGAAGUAAGUGUUUUGAACAUGUCCAAGUGAAGGAUAAUGUAUAGGGACCGUGAGAGCGAAGGCUCGGUCCUGUGGACUAUUUAGUCAAAAUUGCUAAGAUAAGCAUCGAUGAUGAGCUGAGAUUGGAAACGCGAACAAAGUGUUCGUAGAGAAUGAUUCGGAGAAAUCAGGGUAACAUAGAAUGAAAUUCAGAAGCUACGGAAGAAUGUGAUUUUACAUGUUGAUGAUUGCUGGAACUUAUCUCCAUCCGUUGAGUAAGUGAGGAGCAAUAAGUAUCUAAGUUUCGCGGACGAAACUUUGGCUAACGGGGGGAGAUUGUAAUAUAUGGCAACUUGGAGUUGCGAUGUCAACUUUGAUCUAGGGGAUCAAAGUGAGGAUUGAGCUAGUUGGACAUCAUCCCCGAGUGAUUUGUGAUGCGUGUGAAUGAAUUCUGGAGAUAAAUAAGUGUUUCGGCGCAAAUUGGGCGCGAAACGAAAUGUAAAGAAAAUUUGCGGAUUUCCGACGCUAACUUUGAUUAAAAGAAUUAAAGUGAGCAAAAUAAUAUAAAAAUGGUGUGAGAUAAUAUUUUAUUAGACUUAAGGGUGUAAAAUAUAAGUCUGGAAUGACUCGUGUUGGAAUCGGAGCGAAAACAGAAGAUUUAGAAUUUCUGUAAAGAACGGGAUUGAUAAAUUAGCAGAAAAUGCAUAGUGUCAGAAAAUUAUGAAAACUGGAGGAGAUGUCAGAAAUAUUUUUAUGAGGCUAGAUUUGAAGUUUUAUAUUAUUCUGACACUUGUAGAGAGAGAAAUAGCACCCGAAAGUUAUCUGAUAAAGAUUACAGUUCGGGACCGUUCGCAGUGACCAAACGGGGUCGGAACUGAAAUGUUAAAAUUUCUUUGGACUUAUUAAGUAAAACCGAACAUGUCAAAUUUGAGCGCAAAUAGAUAUUCAGAAGGGCUCCAAUUAAAUGUAUCAGACUAGAAUUGGACUAAGUGAUAAUAAUUGAUGAUUUGUGGACCUAAAGGCAAUUGUUACAUUGCUUACAAGGACUUUUUUUCCAUUCUAGGCUUCCUAGUGACUUCCAUUCUUUAUCUCUCUUUUUUUUUCCUUUGUAUCGCUAUUGAGAGAUUGAAUGUAAUAUUAGCAUAUGAAUUGAAAAAAAAGAAGAAUAAAUUUUAAAUAAAUUUUUGUUGAACUUUUUGUUUGUCUUGUGACACUACGAUUUUUAAUUCUUUUUGCUUGCAUUUUUUUUUUUAUUUAUCUAUUCUAUUUUACAUUUUCGUUAAUAUUAUAUUAUUAUAAUUCAAACAAUUUUUUUUUUUUAUAUUUGAUUUUUUUCUUUUUUUUUUUUUUUCGAGUCAUUUUGAUGAUCUAAGUAUACUAUUACUAUCUAAAAUGAAUUUGUUAGAUUUUAUUUCUUAUUGUUUAUUAUGUUGUAUGUCUUUAUGGGCUUUUGUGUUCGUCUACUUUUUUUUUUUUUUUUUUUUUGUUAUUUUAUUUUUUUUUUUUUUUUUUUUUUUUUUUUUUGUUUUUUCUUUUUGUGAUCGAUUUUUGUUUUUGUUUUUCUUUUUUUCUAUUUUCGAUUGUUUGGUUUUCUAGGUUGUAAUUUCCAGAUGGCAAGUAAUUUAUAUUUUUUCUUUUCUUGCUAUAGAAUUUUUUUUUAUUUGUAUGUAUCAUACCUUAUUUCUUGAUAAUUUUAGAUAUAUGGUUAGAAAUCCGGGUUAUUGAUUAUGUUAAUUUAGGAGUGAUCAUACAGAACUUUUAUUGUUUUCAAUAAUCUUUUUUCUUAUACUCUAAAUUUUGGGUUAUUUCUUUUUUUAUUAUUUUGGAUUUCUUGGUUAAUAUUUUUUUAUAGCUUGCUUUUGUUUAUGUUAUUUAAUUUCUUUAAAACAGGCUAUUCAUUUAUUCUUUAUUCUUUUAUUUAUCAUAUAUUUAUGUUAAUUUUUAUAUAGAGUUUCUAUUCAUUUCUAUGAUUUUUAAUUUAAUUUUAGGUGAUGUAACAUCUCUGAAUACUAAUUGUUUGAGUCAUUUGUUAAUUAUAGCGUCGUAAAACAUAGCUAUAAUCUUGUUAAUUGUUACUGAGGUUGUUUGAAUGACUAAGGCAUAUUUCUGCCAUGAGACCUAGAGAUAUUAGCAUUUAUUUUGAUACUAAACUCCCUGAUAAGCUAACUGUGUACGUUCGUUUUUUGUAACUCUACUCGGAAUUGAUAACACAUGUCUAACCUAAUGGGGAAGCGACCGGUUGAAACUCGAUCGACGUUCCCGACAGUCUACGGCCAAUGCUUCGAGAAAAACGUCCUUUAGCCUAAGUUAUGCGACAAGAUUGUGAUCAUUCAUAAAGAUGCGCAAGUGAAUUUGGCCAUCCAAAUAGUAAGGUGGCUUUUCUACGGAAUGAAAGUACUUCCAUGCACAAGUAAAGUAUAAAUAUUUGACCAUCAGUAAAGUGUAGAAUUGAAAAUAUUAAAGCUUAAAUCGUAUUGAUCAAUACAUGUAUCUACUCAUUCAGAAAUAGAUGUCAAUACUGUGAAAUACCCCGAGAUGCAUGAAAUAUGAACAUAAAUUACCUCCUAGAAUCAUACAAGAAAUAUGGUCGAACUCUAAAUUGAAUUAAGAAUCCGACAUUAACAAAAAUUUGAAGCAUAAUCUAAAUAUGACAACUAGAAAUACAUAAUUAGAGCAUAUAGAUUGUAAAUAUUAAGAUACGACAUAAUACAAUGAAAUGGUAUGCAUAAAUUUAAAAUGUAAAAAUUGAAUGCCUAGAGACAUAUGAAUAAAUACUUAUAAUGAAUUCAUCUAAUGAUUAUGAUGAGUCAUAUACAACAUACUAGACGCAUAAGAAUCAUUAUUCAUCUAAAUGCAAGAAUCGGUAUAAUGAAACACCAUAGAUAAAGAUCAUAGAAUGUUAUACAUAGACUAAAGUCAUGUAAAUGAACAUGACGAUAAACUAUAAAUCAGACGUGAUAACAGGAUAAUAAAAACAAACAAGAAAAUAAAAACACAACCUAGUGUUAUUAAACAUAGUUGGACCGAAAAACUAGUUUAUUGACAUAGUUUGAAUAUAAACCAGAUCAAAAUCUAGGUAAAGAACAUGAAACCUAGUGUAAAUAAAUUAGUUAUAGGUGUAGGAACACAUAGUAAAGAUUAGAACUAAUUAUGAAUAUAGGGUAGUAGACCACUAGAAUUAAAUGAUAAAGCCUUGAGGUCCACAAGGUAUUGAUUAAACCCUAAGGGAAGUGGUCCGGGGAACCAGUGUGUGGCAUAAAAUGAAUCAGAACUACGAUCAGACGGUCCCUCUCACCCAGUAUGAUCAACGGAUCGAUGGUUCCACUCCGUAGCCAAAACAGUGAACUAAACUAACGGAUCGACGUCUCCCCCCUAUGAUUCAACAUGACAAGUCCCCCUCUCCGUAUGACCAACAGUUUGAACUUCUCCUCGCCUUCAGCUCGAUGACUAACACAUACCGUUUGGCUCGGGUAUAAAGGGGGAUAAGGGCAACCCCCCUUUAUCCCAAACAAAAAAAAAAGGUGAACAAGAUUUCCACUAAGUUGACAGGUACAACCUUAUGUCGGGUAACACUUACCCACCACGGGAGUUGAAAAGCGUCCCGAACUUUGUUCCGACCCACUGAUUAGAGAAAAAGAAAAGAAAUUAAAAUAUAAUUUUAUAAUUAUAACUAAUAAAUUACAAUUUUAAAUUUUAAAUUUGAUAUUUUUAAAUUUUAAAUUUUAAAUUUGAUAUUUUUAAGUUUUCAAAUUUUAAAUUUUAUUAAAGUUUAAAUUUUAAAUUUGUUAUUUUAUAUCUUUGAAAUUUAAAUUUGGUCUGAAAUUUAAAAUUUGAUAUUUAAAAUUAAUAUUUUUAAUAUUAAAAUUUAAAAUUUUAAUUUCUAAUUUAAAUUUAAAAGUUAAAAUUUAAAAUUUAAAAUUAUAAGUUUAAAAUUCAAUUAUAGGGAUAAUAUUAUUAUUUUCUAUUUAUAACUACCAACUAUUCCUCUUAUUCCCAAAAACCAUCCAAAUACAAUUUUUCUAGUUCCAGCUUAUACUCACAAUUUCAUCCAAACAAAAAAAUACCCUUAUUCCUACAAAAACUCAUACUUGUACCUAUCCCCGGUAUAACUAGUUCCUACUAAUUCCCGAUCCAAACGGAGCCUUAGGGUCACGGGGAUCGACGGUUCUCCUCUCCCUGUGAUGGACCUAGUGUCGCGUGGACUUAAGGCUGAGGUGCUUGUGAAAUGUCCUUCACCUCGAGCCUGACUUGACGCGGUACUCAACGGUUGAUUGACUCAAGACCGAGUCGAGUGGCUAGAUGGCUAAGGUAAAAUAACCUUAAAAAAGAAUCGCCAGUGGGCAUAAUAUGAUAAAGAACAGAAAAUAAAGAAUAAGAGAGUAGCUAAUGAACGUGAAUAGCUAAUAAAGAAAAGAACGGCUACAAGUAAAGAAUGGUUAAUGAUAUAAAGUAGAAUCAAGUAAUCUACUUGCAUGAUUUACAGGUAUUGCAUAUUGCAUAGCAUCGAUACAGUUGCGAGGCAAGGCAUGGUUUUACUUAUUUGCAUACAUAGUCAAAUAUAUGUCUAUCUGUUUAUUAAACUAACCUGCAGUUGCCUCCUUUGGACCUGGUGGGUCGAGCUCUUCUCUUGGGUGGCCGUACCCACUGGGAACUAUAUUUAUAUAGUUCUCACCCCCGUGUGGUUUUUGGUGGUACAGGUUCGCACGCGAGCGGCGCGGCGGCGCGAGGACAGGGCGUAGCUUCGUAGAUAGCGCCCUACCACCGAGACCAGAGAUAGCAGUACCCUGAAGCAGUCUAGCUCAGAGUUCAGGUUGAAAGAAACAAAUUUGUAGUAAAUUGUAUAAGUUGUAAAUUGGAUAAAGAUUUAUGUAAUAACAUAAAGGCAUUUGUAAUAUUCUAAAUGUAAAAUCUGUGAGAUGAAUGCUUGUAAUAGCAUAGCUAGCAUUUUAUGUUUUUGAUACUUAUACAAUCUAUGUUUGAAUGAUGUUCCUGGUUGGGACCUCUUCUGUUGCAUUAUAUGGAUUGUGACGCCUAGGACGUACAGGGAAAGCUCUGUCCGUUCGGCGGCCUGUCGGCAUGCCCGAAUCUGACCAAAUUGGCGGAGCUCGGGGCGUGACAGACCGGUCCCUCCCUGCCAGGAACCGGUUGCAUCAAGAAUCCCCGCAACUCCCAGUCUCGGGGACCGGUCUCUCCCUGCCAGGGACCGGUCCCCGAGAGCAACUUUUGCCCAGUGCAGGUUUUGCACUAUUUGCUCUCGUGGACUCGCCUCUAAGGCACCUUUGGUGAUUAACACAUUUUCGGCCUUUCCGAAGCUCACCAACAUGCCCUUUGGUCGAUUCUAAACGAAGUCUAACUCUUGUAUUUCAAGAAUUUACUUCCUUACAUCCUCCCCUCCUAAAAAGGGAGUUUCGUCAUCGAAACGAAUUCAUUAUCUUAAUCAGCUCAUACCUCAUUGCAUUUCUGUGAAAAGAUGAGGAUAAUGCACUUUCAUUGAUUCCUUGAGUUCCCACGUGGCCUCAUGAUCAUCGUGAUUGGUCCAACGAAUCUUCACGCAGGGAAUCUCACGAUUUCUUAACUUCCGCACUUCUCGAGCAAUGAUCAUCACCGAGAACUCCUUAUAGCUCAAAUCCUUUUGUAGAUUCGGCAGCUCGUAAUACAUAACAUGCUCGGGAUCGUGAACAUAUUUGCGAAGGUUGGAGACAUGGAACACGUUAUGCAAAUUCGCGAGCUUCGACGGUAAUGCGAGUCGGUACGCUACCGCUCCAACAUGUUUCAACACUUCGAACGGUCCGAUAAAUCGUGGACUUAGCUUUCCCCACACUCCGAAGCGUUUCACACCUCUUAUAGGUGAAACCUUCAAGAAAACGCGGUCACCUACAGCGAAUUCCAAAUCUCUACGGCGUUUGUCAGAAUAGCUCUUCUGCCUGGAUUGUGCCGUAAGUAAUCUCUCGCGAGCAAGACGGACCUUCUCUUCCGCCUCCCGUAAUACAUCGAGGCCCAAUGCCGCAGGUUCACCUACAUCGCUCCAACAUAUAAGGGAUCGGUACUUCCGUCCAUACAGGACUUCGAACGGUGCCAUCCCAAUGCUAGCUUGGUAACUGUUGUUGUAGGCGAACUCGGCCAUUCUCAAAUGGUUUGCCCAACUACCCUUGUAGUCAAUGACACACUUCCGCAACAUAUCCUCCAGAAUCUAUAUAGUCCUUUCUGACUGUCCAUCUGUCUGAGGAUGAAACGCGGUGUUAAAAUCGAGUCGUGUGCCAAGUGCUUCUUGCAGGCUUUUCCCAAAAAUGCGAAGUAAAACGGGGGUCUCGAUCUAACACGAUCGACUUCGGAACCCCGUGUAACCUCACAAUCUCAUCGAGAUAUACCUGCACCAAUUUCUUGCUCGACCAAGUGGUGUGAAUCGGUAGGAAGUGUGCCGACUUGGUCAGACGAUCCGCAAUCACCCAGAUCGCGUCGUGGCCACCCGUCGAACGGGGUAAUCCGACCACGAAGUCCAUAGCAACAUUCUCCCAUUUCCAAACGGGGAUAGGUAGACUUUGGAGCUUUCCCGUGGAAAUCGACGCUCAGCCUUCAUUUGCUUGCAUAUCAAGCACUGCACUACAUAGCGCCCAAUGUCUGCAUUCAUGCCCGGCCACCAGUACUGCAUCUUCAGAUCACGGUACAUCUUGGUGCCACCUGGGUGAAUACUAUAAGGAGUUCGAUGUGCCUCUUGCAAUAUUAACUUCCGGACCUCCUCAUUUUCCGGUACGCACUAUCGGUUUCGAAACCGAAGCGCACCCUCAACGUCUACACUGAAAUCACCGCCGUGUCCCCUCUCGAUGUCUCGUUGCACCUUUUGGAGAUUGGGGUCAGCAGGUUGCAAACUCUUAAUCUGCUCCAACAAGGUUGGUUGGACAAUAAGAGCCGUAAGCAUAGACGGGAUUUCCAGAGCUACCACCUCGAGAUCCAAUCGCUCCAUCUCUCUCCACAGUGGCUCCUGACGUGUGACCAAUAUAGCAAGAUUCUCCACUGACUUCCUGCUAAGCGCGUCGGCCACCACGUUUGCUUUUCCGGGGUGGUAUAGGAUUGUAACGUCGAAAACCUUUAAUAAUUCCAACCACCGCCACUGUCGUAUAUUGAGCUCCUUUUGUGUGAAAAGGUAUUUCAGGCUUUUGUCGUCCGUGUAUCUCUCGCAACGUGCACCAUACAAGUAGUGCCUCCAUAACUUGAGAGCAACCACCACUGCGGCCAACUCUAAAUCGUGGACAGGGUAGUUCUUCUCAUAGCUUUUCAACUGACGAGACGCAUAAGCGAUCAUCUUCCCGCCCUGCAUUAGAACACACCCCAAACCCGAUUGUGACGCAUCGCUAUACACCACAAAGUCUUCAUCUUGCACCGGUAAGGCGAGUACCGGAGUCGAAGUCAAUCUAUUCUUCAACUCUUGAAAACUCCGGUCACACUCAUCGCUCCACACGAACUUGGUGCCAUUCUGAGUCAGACGGGUAAGUAGAAUCACGAUCUUCGAGAAUCCCUCCACAAACCGUCUAUAGUAGCCUGCUAAACCCACGAAGCUUCGAACUUUCGUGACGUUAGUCGGGCGAAGCCAAUCCUUGAUCGUUUCCACUUUCCUCGGGUCAACAGAUACUCCACCAUCGGAAAUGACAUGCCCAAGAAAUGCAACCUUUCAGAGCCAAAAGUCGCAUUUCUUAAACACAGAUUCUCCUCCCGAAGGACUUGAAGCAUGAUUCUCAAAUGCUCGGCAUGUUCCUCGUCGCUACAAGAAUAGACCAAGAUGUCGUCUAUGAAGACCACGACAAAUCAGUCCAAGUACUCCUUGAAGACACGGUUCAUCAGUUCCAUGAACGCUGCUGGGGCGUUAGUAAGCCCAAACGGCAUGACUGUGAAUUCAUAAUGUCAUACCGUAUACGAAAUGCGAUCUUUUGAACAUCCUCCGGUUUGAUCUUAAGUUGAUGAUAACCGGAUUGUAGAUCAAUCUUUGAAUAAACACGAGAUCCUUGCAACUGAUCAAAUAAAUCAUUGAUCCUGGGCAACGGGUACUUAUUCUUGAUCGUGACCUUAUUCAACUUGCGGUAGCCUACGCAAAGUCGAAACGAUCCGUCCUUCUUUCGCACGAAUAGAACCGAUGCUCCCCACGGCGAUACACUCGGCCGUAUAAAUUCCUUGUCAAGGAGAUCUAUCAAUUGAGCCCGCAAUUCCUUCAAUUCUGCCGGCGCCAUCCGAUACGGAGCCUUCGAGAUAGGCGCGGUUCCUGGAUCCAAGUCUAUCACGAACUCGAUCUUCCGGUCUGGCGGCAUUCCCGGUAACUCCGCGGGAAAUACGUCUGGGAAUUCCCGAACCACAGACAGCUCCUCGAGUGCCGGAGUCGUCCUUUCGACUUCCACAACGGUCGCCAAGUAGGCUGUGCAACCGCCGUUAAUCAACUUCCUUGCCCUCGUCGCCGACACCAUAGCAGCGAAGCGCGAGCUUCUACAGGCCCGGUAGGUGAACUCCUCCUGACCCGGCUCUCGAAACGUUAUCACUUUAUUUCUGCAGUAAAUGGUCGCAUAGUCUUUGAGAGCCAAUCCAUUCCUAAAAUGACGUCGAAGUCUUUCAACUUCUUAAGCACCAACAUACGGAUGGGCAUUAUUCAGUCGCCUAACCGCACUGGACAAGCCGAACACUCCUUACGGACUAGAAAAUUUCAUCCGGGGCCCGAUACCCUCCAAGUGCUUUUACUAUCUUGUAAUUUUAUGUCAUGCAUUCGUGCAAAUGUCCUACUGAUGAAUGAAUGUGUAGCACCUGUAUCAAACAUAGCCCUGGAGCGAACUCCAUUAAUUAAAACCAUACCUGCAAGUACAUGGCGAUCCUCUGUCUCAACAGGUUCCUCGCCGAACGAACAAGGUUUUCUCUGUACCGCGGACAGAGUCUCCCCUUUACGUCCAAGGCGUCACAAUCCAUACAAUGCGCGAGGUUCCAACCAUGAACAGCAUACAAUAAAGAUUGCAUAAGGAAAGUAUCACAAACAUAAAUACUAUGCCAUUACAAGCAUUCAACUCACAUAUUACAUUUUACAUCACAUUCUACAUUCUUUGAUUCUUACUUCCAAAUAUAAUCCAAUUCUUACAAUAUUAUUACAACUUGGUUCUUUUCAUUUUUCAUAUCUCUAAGUAGCUGACGCAGGGUACCGCUAUCUGGUCUCGGUGGUAGGGCGCUAUCUAUGGAGCUAUGCCCUUUCCUUGCGCCGCCAUGCCGCUCACGUGUGAACCUGUACCCCCAAAAACAAUACGGGGGCGAAAACUAUUGUCCAUAGUUUUCAGUGGGUACGGCCACCUAAGAGAAGAGUUCAACCAACCAGGUCCAAAGAAGGCACUGCAAACAUGUUAGUCCAACAAAUACCACAGAUAUAUAAUUUAUGCAACUAACAAUUUUCAUGUUCAUGCCUCACAAUAUGGAAUAUGCAAAUCAUGCAAUUCAUGCAAGUAGAUUAAUUAAUUCUACUCUUUAUUCUUAGCCAUUCUUUACUAUUAGCCAUUCUUUAUUGCUAAUCAUUCUUUACAUUAUUAUUCGUUCAUGAUUACUAGCCAUUUUUUAUUAUUGCUAUACUUUAGCAUUAGCCGUUCUUUAUUCUUUAUUCCUUACUAAGGGUAUUCACACCUCGGCCAUAUUAUACAUAUCUGCCAUUCUUUCCUAAGGUUAUUUUACCUUAGCCAACUAUGCCACUCGACUCGGUCUUGAGUCAAUCAACUGCGGAUAAUCCGCGCUCUGUCAGGCUCGAGGUGAAGGAACUAUCACAUGCACCUCAGCCUUCCAAUCCACAAACCACAUCGCCCAACGGGUCGCUCAGAGCAGCGCACACCCACGAUCAGGGAUCUUCCCUGUGGGAGGGGAAUAUGCCACGCACCCGCGGCCCAAGACCCCCGAUAGGGAGGGUAAUAUGCCACACGCACCCUAGCGAUCCAAGAUUCUUCCGGUGGAAGGGGAAUAUGCCACACAGCCCCCGCGGCCAAGAAUCAUCCGUAAGCCUAUCCUCGAAGUUCUUCCGGUGGAAGGGGAAUAUGCCACACCCACCCGCGGCCAAGAACUGUCGAGCUCAUAUGCUGCACUAGCAGCCGCUGCACUCGCAGCCGGGAUUCCGGAAUCCACUUUCCAUAGCUCAAGGGUUGGUCUCACCCUAUAGUGUCGACCUAUCUAGGUCCAAGCCAUUACUCAACCUAAGUUUAAUACAUUAGGUCCAAUGUCACUAUGUUCAUAGCCUAGGUUCACUUGACUCUAGGUUCAAUGUCACUUGUGUCAUAACCUAGGUUUACCUCACUCUAGGUUUGAUUCUUAACCUAUGUUCAAUGACACUAGAUUUCAAUGCCAUUCACAAUACUUGUCAUCCUAAUUAUUCAGACUUAGGAUUCUUAAUUGACAUGCCACACAAUGUUCAUAUUUUUCUAGUUGUCCAUACCUAGGAUUCCUAGUUGACAUUUACAUCUAGGCAUACAUAUCUUUUAUGCUUACUCAUGCCUAUGUCUUUAUCAUUCAAUGGUAAUCAACAUGUCUCAUGCAUUCUUUAUUAGCAUAUAUGUAUCAUGCAUUCAUCAUUAGUAUAUAUCCCAUACAUUUCUUAGCAUACAUCUUAUACAUUCAUUUAGCAUUUAGCCCUUACACUCACUUAACAUACAUUCUAUGCAUUCUUUAUUAGCCUCUACUUCAUGCAUUCAUAUAGCAUCUCAUGCACAUGCCUAGGUUCUUAUCAAAGUGGUAGUCAAUAUACAUUUUAGCAUACAACUCAUGCAUUCUUUAACAUCUAUCUCUUGCCUCAUGCAUUCAUAAUUAGCAUCUUUAUCAUGCAUUCAUAAUUAGCAUGUAUCUCAUGCAUCAUUUACAAUGUGGACUACCAUUACUUGCAUUCAUUACUAGCACAUAUGUUAUACUUUUAUUUAGCAUUUAACUCAUGCAUUCACUCAACAUAUACUCUAUACAUUCAGUAGCAUCUAGCUCUUGUUAAUUAUUUAGCAACUAGCUCAUGUAUUUAGCAUCUAGUUCAUGCAUUAUUCACUUGGUAAUUAACUACCACAUCAUGCAUCAAUAAUGAGACAUAUACCACUUUGGCAUGGAAGCGACCUAAUCGCUUCGGUAGAGCACAACCCACUUGUAAUGCUCUCCGAUUGCUUGUAGUCACUUGCAAUCGGGCUCCCGCGGCACACGUGAUCCGAUUCGGCUUCAACUCGCGAUUGAUCGCCGAACGCCAACAAUCCGCAACGUAGGGUCAUCAAAGGCUCAUCUCUAAACUUUAAUUAGAAAACAAUAGGGUUAAAUGAGAUCAAAACCCUCAUUUACCCAUAAUCCCCAUUUUCUAAGCCUAGUGUCACGCCCCGCCCCGAAACCACUACCAAUUUGGCACGAUUCGGGCGCCGCGAGCGGACCGCCGAACGGACAGCACCUCCCCUGCCCGCCCAAGGCUCACAACAAGAAUGUGUACAAGAAUUUUUCAGAAAUUUAAAUUCUAAAUAUACACAUUCAACGGGGCACGAAUAGUGCCAGCAACUACAAGAGCAAGCAAUCCACAGGAAUAACAUGUGAAAUAAAGAGAGUACUUUACUAACUAUUACAAUAGUUCAUUUACAUCAUUUUCUUUAAAUGAUUACAUCAUUCAUCCAAAAUACAUAGCUCUCCAAGUCCUCACCUACAAUGAAUCUUUCUCAAUACAUAGGUGUACUAAUGCAAAAAGGAAAGCUACUAUACUACCACGGUCUCACUAAUCGGGCGCGAUGCCCUUGCCGCGGUCCUCCCUCGGCAGCCCUGUACCUACCACUGAAAAUAGAGUGGGGUGAGAACUAUCUUUCAUAGUUCCCAGUGAGCUCGGCCGCCGACUCUGUCGGUCUCCUCAUUAGGUCCAAGUGGGCACAAGUAACAACAGAUAGAUUGUCACGUCCCGCUAUCGCCAAUUUGGUUGAUCCGGGCCCGUACACAGACGCCGAACGGACAGAACUUCCUCUGUCCGCCCAAGGCUCAACAACAACGAGUACAUGUAUAAAGAAAUAAACAAUUCCCAGGAUAACAUUUCAAUAUACAUGGCUUGCACGAGGGCAAGCAACAAGCACAAGUGAUAGUAAGCCUAGCUAUACUGAAAAUUCACUGUAAUUUAAAACUUUUAAACUGAACUUUACAUAACUGAAUAACUGAAACAUUUAGUUAUUUACAGCUUUAUAAUACAUUCAUUUACAUGUCUCUGUACAUCAAAAUGUCUCACUUGAACUCAAAAUGGUAUACCACUAAACACUGGUGUCUGCUAGCUAGGCUGCAGGGCUCUUGCCGCGAUCCUCGACCACAAUGCUCGCACUGGAACCUGUAUGGUUAGUGGUGUGAGAACUACUAAAAGUUCCCAGUGGGUUCGGCCGCCGACCUCGCCGACUCACCCACUAGGUCUAUUUAGGCAUACGCAGGCAAAAGAAGUAAACAGAUAGUAACCAACUAUAACAUGUAACUACUACAAUGCCUGUACAAAGCUGAAGGAAGCAAUAUAUGAAAACUGUAAAUAUGCAUGCAUGCUUUUACUGAAUUUACCCAAUCUUUUGGUUAACCUUUUGGUUAACAAUAACUCACUGACACUAUCCCAAAUAUCGGGGAGACGCAAGCUACACCCGAUGGGACUGUCAACUGGGGGAGACGCACCUCCUGGUCCAGUUAAGAUGACUACUCCGGAGUUCAUCGUUCAAGGAGGAGCGACCUACCUUGAACCAAACGAAUGUAAGUAUGAUCUGAUCCUUCUUUAGAGGAUUCAACAAUAGACAAUGUCACACUUUGACUCCAACUAGCUCUUUAUGCUGGUUUCACAAUUCCAUUUCUCGAUGCUAACCAAAUCUCUAAUUAGAAUGUCACCAAGUUUACUAUUGUUAUAGUCCAUGCAUUCAUAGGGUUCUAUGUUCACAUUCUAUUGUUCACAUAUUCUCAAGGUUGAUAAGCAUUUGUAUAAUCAAAUAUCAUUUACAUAAUAUCAAUACCCUACAAUGCAUGAUUACAAUGUAAAUAUGCUCAAUGAAUUAUCAUUGACAUAAAAGGUGAUUCAAAGAUUUCGGAUAGCACCACCCACCUGUAGUGGUGUCAACAACUAGAAUCCACGUCUCGAACUGUGCCAACAACAAUAUCACACGACUCAAUGCAAUUAGAGCCGAAUUGGCUUCUACUGUAAUUAGUACGUCGCCGACCUGUCGGAAUGUCAAUUUAGACUUUCGAGCAAGUUUAACUUUCAUUUAUAAAGGAAUAAAAGAGAUUAAACUUAAGUUAUACUCCUAUUCUAACAAAACUUGCAUUUCACUUCAACAUACAUAUAUAUAUGUAUAGUGUUAAGGCCUCUAUACAUAUACUCUUUUAUUCCAUUCUUUUACGCAGCAGUUUUAUUUAUUCUAAUGCAGAACUUCAACCUUACUUAAUUCAGUUUCCAUUUCAACACUAAGCAUAUAUACAUUCAUACGUAUAUACAUGUACAUAUACAUUUAUAUGUACAGCUUGUUCACAUUCCACCACCUUAUAUUAUAUAGAACUUUCACAUUAAUUACUUUUCACCCAAACUAGUCCACUUGACAUCAACAUAGAGCAUUCUCUAGAUUCAUACAGUCAAAUAGGCAUUAGCAACUUAGAAAUUCUAAGUUAGACAUUUUGCUCUAGGUUUCACAUGGCACUUAGAGGCUUAACAAUCAUAAUCUAUCAUUCAAACUCUUCCCUAAUUUAAACACAAUAACAUUAAGUAGGNUACACUAGGUUAUCAUUUAGAAAGCAUAAGGAAUGGAGCUACUAUGCAAUCCUACAAUGCAACAUGUAAAAGAUGAGAUUAAAUGCAAUCUAAGACAUAGAAAGGAGUUCGAAAGCUUCGGGAUGGCACCCCCCACCUUUUAUCGAUGUAGAGGCUUGGAAAUUCUUCUCGGCGAACCUUACGAAAUGGCUUUAACCUUCCUUGCCCAAGACAAUGCUAAUUCGGCCCUAUUUUGCCGAGAACUUCACGCCGGCUCGCCGAAUGCUAAAACCGACUUCGCCCCCGCGUUUUGUGACCUAGCAAUUGGGUUUCCAAGGCAUCAAAUAAGAUCAAUCUCAUACUUUCACAAAAACUCCAUUUUGGAGCCCUAGGUUUGCACCUAUAGCAAACCACCAAUAAAUCCCUAGAUUCUUGGGAUUGAUCUACUUAGAAGCAUGCUUAGGAUCUAUUUGACCCAUUCCAAAGCAUCAAAACCCAAAACCCUAAGUUCUAGAAGCUAGGGUUUAGUAGCUUAGCUCUAGAGCUACUUCAAAGAGAAUAUGAGAAGGAGAUGAGGGUGUCCAAAGCCUUCCUCUUGAUCUCCUUCUUCUUCUCCUUCUUGUUCUUCUUCUUCCUUUUCUUCCUCUCCUUCUUGUUCUUCUUCUUCUUUUCCUUUCUUUUCUAGAGAGAGAGAGAGAGAAAAUAUGAGAGGGAGAGAGUGUGAGUGAGGGUGAGAGAGGAAGAGAGCUCAGCCCCUCUAAUCCCCCCUACUAAUGCCAUUUUGCAUAAAAACCCCUCAACUUUUAAUCCUAUACACCGCCCUUACUGGGCAAAAUUCGCGCGGAGGGACCGGUCUCCCCAACUUGGGACCGGUCCCCGAGGGUCUCCCUCGGGCGCACGCGUUCGGGAACCGGUCUCUUCCCGGGAGACCGGUCCUUGGGAGACCGGUCCUCACCUGAGAGACCGGUCCCCGAGAGCUCGAUUUUUAGGACUUAGCCAAAUUUCGGCCUUUCUCGCGGUUUUCACCUACAGGAACCGGUCCCUCCCAGCUCAGGGACCGGUUGCAUCAAGCAACCCCGCGACUGUAGCUACAUGGACCGAUCCUCCCCUCCAGGGACUGGUCCCAGAGAGCAAAAUCUGCCAAGUCCAGAUUUUUGCUUAUUUGCUCUCGCGGACUCAACUCCAAAGCACUUUUUGUGUUUUGGACAUUUUCAACUCGCACAAAGGGUAUUCUCNCAACUCCAAAGCACUUUUUGUGUUUUGGACAUUUUCAACUCGCACAAAGGGUAUUCUCUCGACAGUUAGUCGAUCCUGGAUGAAGUACAAUCCUCGGAUUUCGAGAAUUCACUUCCUCACAUCCUCCCCUCUUUAACAGGAGUUUCGUCCUCGAAACUAACUCAAUUCUUAACUUUAACUCAAACCCAUGCCUUACUCGAAUAGAUAAGGAUGGUGUUUUCUCAUCAAAUUCUCGAGUUCCCAGGUGGCUUCGCGAUCCUCGUGAUUGCUCCACCUAACCUUCACAUAGGAAAUUUCUCGAUUCCUUAACUUUCGCACCUCUGGGGCGAUAAUUCCUACCGGAAACUCUUCAUAGCUCAAGUCUCCUUGAAGUUCCGACGGCUUAUAUAGCAUUGCGUGCUCGGGGUCGUGAAUGUACUUGCGGAGAUUGGAGACAUGGAACACACUGUGUACAUCUGCAAGCUUCGGCGGCAAAGCAAGUCGGUAGGCCACCGUGCCGACUCGCUCCAAUAUCUCAUAUGGUCCAAUAUAUCAGGGACUCAGUUUUUCCCGCACUCCAAACCGCUUCACACCCCGCAUCGGUGAAACUUUCAAGAAUACGCGGUCGCCUACCGCGAAUUCUAUAUCUCGACGGCGCCUAUCUGCAUAGCUUUGCUGUCUCGACUGCGCCGUGAGCAAUCUCUUGCGAGCAAGACGGACUUUCUCCUCCACUUCUCGCAAAACAUCGGGGCCGAAUUCUGUACGUUCACCCACAUCGCUCCAGUGUAUAGGGGACCGACACGUUCACCCAUAGAGAGCCUCGAACGGUGCAACUCCAUACUAGCAUGAUAACUGUUGUUGUAGGCGAACUCAGCCAUAGGUAGGUGGUCAUACCAACUUCCCUUAUACUCAAUGACACAUGCUCGCAACAUGUCCUCCAGAGUUUGAAUAGUUCUCUCUGUUUGCCCAUCGAUCUAAGGAUGAAAUGCGGUGCUAAAGUCGAGCCGUGUGCCAAGGGCUUGCUGCAGGCUCUUCCAGAAGUGUGAAGUGAACCAGGGGUCACGAUCCGACACGAUGGAUUUCGGCACCCCAUGCAGUCUCACUAUCUCGUCAAGAUAUACCUGCGCUAACUUGUCACCCGACCACGUGGUGUGGAUCGGCAAGAAGUGAGCCGACUUUGUCAAGCGGUCUACAAUUACCCAAAUUGCAUCGUGGCCGCCUCUUGAGCGAGGCAAGCCGACUACGAAGUCCAUCGAUAUAUCCUCCCACUUCCAAACGGGGAUUGGUAGGCUUUGAAGCUUUCCCGCUGGAAAUCGACGCUCGGCCUUUACUUGUUGGCAUGUUAAGCACUUCGCUACAAAGCGUCCAAUAUCACCUUUCAUUCCCGGCCACCAAUAGUGCAUCUUUAGUCCCUGAUACAUCUUGGUGCCGCCCGGGUGAUCGGCAUAUGGAGAUCGGUGUGCUUCUUGCAAAAUCAAUUCACGAAGCUCUCCAUCUUUCGGCACACACCAUCGGUUUCGAAACCGAAGUGCACCAUCGGCGUCUACCUUGAAAUCGCCGCCAUGCCCUUUCUUAAUGUUUCGUCGCACCUUUUGGAGUUCUGGGUCUGCGGGUUGCAGAUCUUUGAUCCUCUCCAACAAGGUCGGUUGGACAACGAGUGCCAUCAACUGAGAUGGAGUCUCGGGAGUAACUACUUCGAGGUCCAGUCGCUCUAUCUCCAGCCAUAGGGGAGUUUGAUUGGUAACCCACAUGGCAAGGUUCUCCGCUGACUUCCUACUCAGCGCAUCUGCGACCACAUUUGCCUUCCGAGGUGGUAGAGGAUAUCAACAUCAUAAUCCUUUAACAGCUCCAAGCACCGCCGCUGACGCAUGUUGAGCUCCUUCUGUGUGAACAGGUACUUCAAGCUCUUGUGGUCGGUAUAGAUCUCACAAUGGGCACCAUAUAAGUAGUGCCUCCACAGCUUCAAGGCGAAAAUCACCGCCGUUAGCUCCAAAUCGUAGAUGGGGUAGAUCUUUUCAUAGCUCUUCAGCUGACGGGAUGCGUAGGUAAUUACCUUCCCGUUUUGCAUCAAGACACACCCUAAUCCAAGAUAGGAGGCAUCGCUGUAGAUCACGAAGUCUUCGCCCUGCACCGGCAGAGCGAGCACCGGGGUCGAAGUCAACUUUUUGCUUCAACUCUUUGAAAUUCCGGUCGCACUCUUCGCUCCAAACAAACUUGGUGCUUUUCUGAGUCAGACGGGUAAGUGGAAUCACUAUCUUGGAAAAGCCUUCCACAAACCGCCUAUAGUAGCCCGCCAAGCCCACGAAGCUUCGAACCUCCGUGACAUUUGUCCGGCGCGGCCAAUCCUUGAUUGCCUCAACCUUCCUUGGGUCUACAGAAACUCCACCCGCGGAAAUCACAUGCCCUAGGAAGGUGACCUCUCGGAGCCAGAAGUCACACUUCUUCAGCUUAGCAUAUAGCUUCUCCUCCCGAAGGACUUGAAGCACUAUUCUCAAAUGCUCGGCAUGUUCCUCGUCACUACGAGAAUAGACCAAUAUGUCGUUUAUAAAGACCACGACAAAUCGAUCCAAAAACUUCCUGAAGACAUGGUUUAUCAAGUCCAUAAUGCCGCUGGAGCAUUCGUGAGUCCAAAUGGCAUGACCGUGAAUUCGUAAUGUCCAUACCGCGUGCGGAACGCGGUCUUCUGCACAUCCUCCGGGUUGAUUUUCAGCUGGUGAUAGCCGGAUUGCAAUUCUAUCUUCAAGUACACACACGAUCCCUGCAACUGAUCGAACAAGUCAUCGAUUCGAGGUAGUGGGUACUUGUUCUUGAUCGUGACUCUGUUCAAUUCUCGAUAAUCCACGCAGAGUCGAAACGAUCCAUCCUUCUUCCGCACAAACAGCACCGGGGCUCCCCACGGUGAUACACUUGGCCGGAUAAAUUGCUUGUCGAGGAGGUCUUGCAAUUGACUUCUCAACUCUUUCAGUUCUGCCAGCGCCAUUCGGUACGGAGCCUUCGAGAUCGGUGCGGUACCGGGAACCAAGUCUAUAAUGAACUCGAUCUCCCGGUCCGGUGGUAUCCCCGGCAACUCCGCAGGAAACACGUCCGGGAACUCCCGCACCACCGAUAGCUCCUCUAACGUUGGAGCUACUCGUUCCACUUCCACAACAGUCGCUAAGAAUGUCGUGCAACCGCUGUUAACUAACUUCCUUGCUCUCGUCGCCUACAUCGUCGCGACGAAGCACGAGCUUUGACAUGCCCGAUAUGUGAACUCUCUUGUCCUGGCUCAUGGAACGUGAUCACCCUGCUCUUGCAGUCGAUCGUUGCGUGGUCCUUCGAAAGCCAGUCCAUCUCCAGAAUGACGUCAUAAGCCUCAAGCUUCUGGAGUUCUAGCGUCUGAAUAGGCAUUAUCCAGUUACCCACUUGUACUGGACAUGACGCACACUCCGAGUAGGUAUUAAAUGUCGACCCAGGGCCCUCCACUCGCCACUUGUCACUUGCCUCAAUGAGUAUGUCAUGCAUGCGUGCGAAUGAUCUACUUAUGAAUGAAUGUGUGGCUCCUGUAUCAAAUAAAGCCUUGGAGCGAACUCCGUUAAUCAAAACCAUACCUGCCACACGGCGAUGCUCCUCCGCCUCCGCAGGUUCCUCAGCUUGGACCUGAGCAGCGAACACCCGUCCGCUCGGGGCCGAUCGUACCACUUCAGGUUGACGCGGCGUCAUCGCGCGUUCCGUCGACGCGGCUGUCGGUGGAGCUCCUCCAUAAUGAGCCAGAAUCGCCAACGCCGAUGCAAUCGAUGGGGCAGGGGAGGCUCCUCCUCCCGGGCAGUCCCGAAUGAAGUGCCCCGGUUGCCCACACUUGUAGCACUUGCCUCGGCCUUGCUCACAGCGUGAGACUGGGUGGUCUCCGCCGCAUACAAUGCAUCGCCGCACUCCACCGCCCUUCUGUUGAGUGCACGGAUACUUCGGGGGUUUCUUGUAACGUGUUUGUCCCCCGGAACUACCGCCGCCUUGGCGUUUCUUGCCCUUGUCCUUGGACUCAGCCAAAAGCUCACGCUUCUCUCGAACAUGGGCAUCUCCGUGCUCCGCCCAUAGGGCUCGAUCAAAUACCUCCGCAAAGGUCGUGAGCUUGAGUAUUUGCACGGCCUUGUAGAUUCCCGGUAGAAGUCCUCGCAAGAACCACUCGGCCCGGUCCCGGUCAUCUUUUACAAUAUCCGGGACACAGUAUAUGAUAUGGGAGAAUUCUUGUUCAUACUCCGCCACUGCGCGGUCCCCUUGCUCUAGCUUGCGGAACUUCUCGUUGAGCUUCCGCUUCAAUGUAUCUGGAAAAUAGUUGGCGAACAUUUUUCGCUUGAAUUCGUCCCAUAACAUUGGCGGAAGGCCGGGAAGCUGAUCCCGUUUGACGCGCUUCCACCAAACUUUCACCGCCUUUUCCAAGCAAUGGGUGGCGAGGUACACUUUAUCUCUCUCCAAAGUGCGCAAGUCUUCAAAGAGGGUCUCCAUUGAGUCAAUCCAAGACUCGACCAUCUCCGGUUCCACCUUCUCGCCCUCGAAGAUUGGCGGAUGGAACUUGUUGAACUUGAUAAGAGCCGCCAAGGCGCGCUCUCCCUCCACGUCUUCGGCCGACACAUCGGGUGUAGCCGAUCCCGAUGACGCCUGUGGUACGAUCGUUGGCGGUGGGCGUGCCGUCACCGAAACCGCCACUAUGCCCUCACCCUCAGCCGUUCCGUGUAUAUGAGUCGAGGGUGCGGGCGGAUCACCGCCCUCAUUCACCGUCGCAGCUGCCGCCGCGAUCUGCCGCUCUAAUAGAUCCUGGAGCCGCUCAAAUCGGGUCUCCUGGCACUGCACCACGUUGGUCAGCACGGUCACCUGCGCUUGCAACCGAUCGAUCACGCUCGGUUCCUCCUGCUCGGGCACCUUAGGAAUCGGUGCUGGGGCAGAUCUACGCGUAUAGCGUCUUGGAGACAUUAGUCCCUGAAACGCAAAUACUUGGUCAGUCAUCUUAACCAAUUAUCUCGUCGCAAUUACGACACAUGACGAUUCAACCACAAAAUCGGGCGGAAGCACACAAGGGCACUCGUUCUAGACUCUUGGUAUCAUGUCGUCGGCCGCCGACACAACCACCUCAAGACAAGAACUCAUACCUCUUGAAUUCGUCUCUUAUCAUAACUAGAGACAUAUUACCAACUUCGACCCAAUCGAAUCCACUUCCGCCAUCGCUAUAGGUUCACGUUUCGCUCACGCACCUAUAACGUUAAGGCUUACCAACCGAGGGUCUCCUAGGUCAUCCUAGACUCUCUCUUUACUUGCUCUUAUUGCUCUGAUACCACAAAGGCUAUCAUGCCCCGCCCCGAAACCACUACCAAUUUGGCACGAUUCGGGCGCGCCGAGCGAACCGCCGAGCGGACAGCACCUCCCCUACCCGCCCAAGGCUCACAACAAGAAUGUGUACAAGAAUUUUCCAGAAAUUUAAAUUCUAAAUAUACACAUUCAACGGGGCACGAAUAGUGCCAGCAACUACAAGAGCAAACAAUCCACAGGAAUAACAUGUGAAAUAAAGAGAGUACUUUACUAACUAUUACAAUAGUUCAUUUACAUCAUUUUCUUUCAAUGAUUACAUCAUUCAUCCAAAAUACAUAGCUCUCCAAGUCCUCACCUACAAUGAAUCUCUCUCAAUACAUAGGUGUACUAAUGCAAAAAGGAAAGCUACUAUACUACCACGGUCUCACUGAUCGGGCGCGAUGCCCUUGCCGCGGUCCUCCCUCGGCAGCCCUGUACCUACCACUGGAAAUAGAGUGGGGUGAGAACUAUCUUUCAUAGUUCCCAGUGAGCUCGGCCGCCGACUCUGCCGGUCUCCUCAUUAGGUCCAAGUGGGCACAAGUAACAACAGAUAGAUUGUCACGUCCCGCUAUCGCCAAUUUGGUUGAUCCGGGCCCGUACACAGACGCCGAACGAACAGAACCUCCUCUAUCCGCCCAAGGCUCAACAACAACGAGUACAUGUAUAAAGAAAUAAACAAUUCCUAGGAUAACAUUUCAAUAUACAUGGCUUGCACGAGGGCAAGCAACAAGCACAAGUGAUAGUAAGCUAGCUAUACUGAAAAUUCACCGUAAUUUAAAAAUUUUAAACUGAACUUUACAUAACUGAAUAACUGAAACAUUUAGUUAUUUACAACUUUAUAAUACAUUCAUUUACAUGUCUCUGUACAUCAAAAUGUCUCACAUGAACUCAAAAUGGUAUACCACUAAACACUGGUGUCUGCUAGCUAGGCUGCAGGGCUCUUGCCGCGAUCCUCGGCCACAAUGCUCGCACUGGAACCUGUAUGGUUAGUGGUGUGAGAACUACUAAAAGUUACCAGUGGGUUCGGCCGCCGACCUCGCCGACUCACCCACUAGGUCCAUUUAGGCAUACGCAGGCAAAAGAAGUAAACAGAUAGUAACCAACUAUAACAUGUAACUACUAUAAUGCCUGUACAAAGCUAAAGGAAGCAAUAUAUGAAAACUGUAAAUAUGCAUGCAUGCUUUUACUGAAUUUACCCAAUCUUUUGGUUAACCUUUUGGUUAACAAUAACUCUCACUGACACUAUCCCAAAUAUCGGGGAGACGCAAGCUACACCCGAUGGGACUGUCAACUGGGGGAGACGCACCUCCUGGUCCAGUUAAGAUGACUACUUCGGAGUUCAUCGUUCAAGGAGGAGCGACCUACCUUGAACCAAACGAAUGUGAGUAUGAUCUGAUCCUUCUUUAGAGGAUUCAACAAUAGACAAUGUCACACUUUGACUCCAACUAGCUCUUUAUGCUGGUUUCACAAUUCCAUUUCUCGAUGCUAACCAAAUCUCUAAUUAGAAUGUCACCAAGUUUACUAUUGUUAUAGUCCAUGCAUUCAUAGGGUUCUAUGUCACACAUUCUAAUUGUUCACAAUAUUCUCCAUGUUGAUAGCAUGUUGUAUAAUCAAUAUAUCAUUAUACAUAAACAUAUCAAUACCCCUACAAUGCAUGAUUACAAUGUAAAUAUGCUCAAUGAAUAUCAUAGACAUAAAAGGUGAUUCAAAGAUUCGGAUAGCCCACCCACCUGUAGUGGUGUCAACAACUAGAAUCCACGUCUCCGACAUGUGCCCAACAACAAUAUCAGCGACUCAAUGCAUUAAGACCGAAUUGGCUUCUACUCGUAAUUAGUACGUCGCCUGACAGACCUGUCGAAUGUCAAUUUAGACUUUCGACGCAAGUUUAACUUUCAUUUAUAAAGGAAUAAAAGAAUUAAAUAUAAGUUAUACUCCUAUUCUAACAAAACUUGCAUUUCACUUCAACAUACAUAUAUAUGUAUAGUGUUAAGGCCUCUAUAACAUAUAUCUUCUUAUUCCAUUCUUUUACGCAGCAGUUUUAUUUAUUCUAAGCAGAACUUCAACCUUACUUAAUUCGUUUCCAUUUCCAACACUAAGCAUAUAUAUCAUUCAUACGUAUAUACAUGUAACAUAUACAUUUAUAUGAGCAGCUUGUUCACAUUCCACCACUUAUAUUAUAUAGAACUUUCACAUUAAUUAUUUUCACCCAAACUAGUCACCUUGACAUCAAACAUAGAGCAUUCUCUAGAUUCAUACAGUCAAAUAGGCAUUAAGCAACUUAGAAAUUCUAAGUUAACAUUUUGCUCUAGGUUUCACAUGCACUUAGAGCUUAACAAUCAUAAUCUAUCAUUCAAACUCUCCUAAUUUAAAACACAAUAACAUUAAGUAGGAAAUAGAUCAACCUAUUUCAGUUUUUAUCUCUAUCAUAAUUCACCUAUAUAUAUACUAUACUACAUAUAGCUCUUUAUAUUUAAUCCAUGGUUAUAUUCAACUCCAUAAGCUAAAUUAUGCAUAAUUAACUUUUCUUAUAAUCAGCAAUUAGCAUCAUUCCCAUUUCAGGAAUUUGAGCUAAUUAUACUCCAAAUUUCAUUCUUAAUAAUGCUAGGCAUAUAAUAUAUAUAUAUAUAUAUAUAAUAUAUAUAUAUAUAAAUAUAUAUAUAUAUAUAUAAUAUAUAUAUAUAAGAGUAGGGCUAAAAUACUUUUACAAGUAAUCACCUAAGUGAUACUUGUGUGUUUCUAGCCCUUGGAUGGAGAGAUGGGAGGUUGAGAUGAUGGGGUGGUGGUUGUAGGUGGAUAUGUGUUUUGAUCCAAGGGCUAUUUGUAAUCAAAAAGUAGAUCCAAUGGCUAAAAAGGUGAUAGACUUGGGAUUGAUACUUGUAAAAGUAUCCUAUAUAUAUAUAAUGCUAUAUUUUUUUUUUAUAAUCUCUAGGCUUUCUACAUACUACUACGUUACAAGCCUUUAAUCAUAUAAAACCCUCUCAUAGGUAGUUAGAACAAACCUUAAUUAAGAUCUCAACCAACUUAAGUCUCGUUCAUAUUUCUAACCAAUAAUUCAUAUGCAUUCUUUCCAACAUAUAGCUUAUUAGAGAUUUGCUCAUGAUGAUAUAAGCUCUAAAAGCUAACUAUCCAUUUGUUCAACUCAUUCUAGAGUAGAUAACAUCACUCUAAUUAAGAAAUAUUCUAAUUCAUACCUCAAUUUCUUUCUUUCUAGCUGAAUCCCUGCUCACUAGCCUCUUCUCAGCUCACAAUACCCAAAUUCACUAAACUCUUCUUCAAAAACCAUUCUAGUGCUUUAGAGAAAGAGAGGAAGAAAAAGCUAAAAAGAAGAGGUGAGAAGAUAAGCUCCAAUACGUAUGAAGCUGCUGGGGUUGUUGGCUGUAGAUAAGACUAAGAAAAAAUGCAAUUAAGCCCCUCCACAAUGCUGCAAUUGCAGUUUUCACAAAACAAUCCUGCAGUUUACGAAACAGUCCCUGCAGUUUACAAAACAGUCCCUGCUGGCAGCCGCAGCCUUGGCAGCCCAUUUCUCACUUCUAGCUCGCUCCGAUUUCAUCCCAACACUUCCAAAACAUGCUAAUCUCUAUGCCCAAACUACCAAUUUAAUUUGGAAGCAUUUAAUUUUUAAUUUUGUAUUAAUUUGAUCAUUUUGAACAAAUCGACUAAAAAUUUCAGCUUUAGAGUAGCAAUAGCAAUUGGAGGUCUUUAGCCACUUCGAUUCCAUUCGUGUCUAUUCUCAUACUUCCAAAACAUGUCAAUUGCUGUUCUCAAGCUACUAAUUAAGUUUAGAAACACUUAAUUUCCAUUUUAGCAUCAUUGCGACCACUUUGAUCACAAUUAGCUCGAGAUAAAUUUUCAAUGCAUUACAUAGAUAGAUAGAUAUGUAUCUGGAAACUGUAAAUGCAAUAGUAGGAAAACUAUGCUACUAUGCCCAUAAUCAUGAAUAUGAAUGCAUGCAUCAUAUAAUAAAGGUUUGCUACUGUCACGCCCCGGGACCGGCGGAUGCCCUCCCUCUCGAAUAAAAGGCGUCUAGAAUAAAAGCGGAAGUAGAAGCAAGUAAUAAUACGAAUAGAAUAGUAACAACUAGUGAUAUCAGAGCGAGUAAAAUUCUAUCAUCUACACCGAAGUGAAGAAAUAAAGCUAGACAAUAAAAGAAACCAUAAGCAGUACAAUAACUGUGUCUAGUAUAAAAAUGGUGGUCUCUAGUACACUGGUAAAACCCUCAACCUCUCGCAAAAUAAAAUAAGACAUCGAGAGGUAGACCACCUAGCAACUCGUCAUCGAAGGAAGCUAGCUCGAAGCAACUCCCUUCCCGCGAUCCCUGGCCUCACCCUGCGUGGAAGGCUCUGAAAAACAUCGAGAAAAAGAGGGCGUGAGAACUAUAAUUUAUAGUUCCCAGUGGGCAAUUACUGACCUCAGCUCAAUGCACCACUAGGCCCCAAAAGAAGAGGGUAAGUACAAUAAUAAUAGCAAUAAUGACUGCGAUAUAAAGGCAUAAUUAAAAUGCUAAAUUACUAAACUCAAGUAUAAACGAUGUCAUGGUGAUGUACAUCUACGAUAUCAAAAUAGUAGGUCAUUAACCUUCAUGAAUACAUUAUGCAUAAGUUCUGUCAUGGCAACCAAGUAUGCUUUAAUGCAAAAUGGAGACUAUCAAGUAUACUACAUGUCUCAACACUAGGCUAAAAGCAUAUAAAUGUAAUUCAACUUCUAAACCUAUCUAGUAGUGAUUAACCAUUCUCAACACCGUGUCGAUUUUCAUUUCCAAUUAAGGACCUACCAAAGGUAGUCUAGCUUGUGCCGCCUAAGUGCCUGUGGUAGUCCAACAUCCCUACUCUUGGAAUGUGUCUGUCCCACUCGACCCCGUAGGCUUCUCAAUACCGCACGAGCGAACAUAAGUCGCGUAGGCUAAUUCCGGAGUGCCGGCUUGUAGGGAGCGACCCUCACAAGCAUGUGCGAAUGAGCACAAAUGGCAAGCAAGCAUAGUCCAAGUCUCAAAUAUCCAAUCCUCAUGUCUCUAACAUGGUAUGGUCACUGGCAUCCCGAAGAUCUAGUUUAAGUCACAAUGUGAAGUUUCAACAUUUGCUAUGCCUAGUGCCCCUUGAUGACACUUAGGCAAUCUGAUGUUCAAUAUGUAUUUCAAAUCCCUUGAUGGCCCUAUCCAUUAGGUUCACACGCGUCCCGAGCUCAAUGCCGCUUGAUGACAUUAGCUCUCUAANGCAUACAACUCAUGCAUUCUUUAACAUCUAUCUCUUGCCUCAUGCAUUCAUAAUUAGCAUGUUUAUCAUGCAUUCAUAAUUAGCAUGUAUCUCAUGCAUCAUUUACAAUGUGGACUACCAUUACUUGCAUUCAUUACUAGCACAUAUGUUAUACUUUUAUUUAGCAUUUAACUCAUGCAUUCACUCAACAUAUACUCUAUACAUUCAGUAGCAUCUAGCUCUUGUUAAUUAUUUAGCAACUAGCUCAUGUAUUUAGCAUCUAGUUCAUGCAUUAUUCACUUGGUAAUUAACUACCACAUCAUGCAUCAAUAAUGAGACAUAUACCACUUUGGCAUGGAAGCGACCUAAUCGCUUCGGUAGAGCACAACCCACUUGUAAUGCUCUCCGAUUGCUUGUAGUCACUUGCAAUCGGGCUCCCGCGGCACACGUGAUCCGAUUCGGCUUCAACUCGCGAUUGAUCGCCGAACGCCAACAAUCCGCAACGUAGGGUCAUCAAAGGCUCAUCUCUAAACUUUAAUUAGAAAACAAUAGGGUUAAAUGAGAUCAAAACCCUCAUUUACCCAUAAUCCCCAUUUUCUAAGCCUAGUGUCACGCCCCGCCCCGAAACCACUACCAAUUUGGCACGAUUCGGGCGCCGCGAGCGGACCGCCGAACGGACAGCACCUCCCCUGCCCGCCCAAGGCUCACAACAAGAAUGUGUACAAGAAUUUUUCAGAAAUUUAAAUUCUAAAUAUACACAUUCAACGGGGCACGAAUAGUGCCAGCAACUACAAGAGCAAGCAAUCCACAGGAAUAACAUGUGAAAUAAAGAGAGUACUUUACUAACUAUUACAAUAGUUCAUUUACAUCAUUUUCUUUAAAUGAUUACAUCAUUCAUCCAAAAUACAUAGCUCUCCAAGUCCUCACCUACAAUGAAUCUAUCUCAAUACAUAGGUGUACUAAUGAAAAAAGGAAAGCUACUAUACUACCACGGUCUCACUGAUCGGGAGCGAUGCCCUUGCUGCGGUCCUCCCUCGGCAGCCCUGUACCUACCACUGGAAAUAGAGUAAGGUGAGAACUAUCUUCCAUAGUUCCCAGUGAGCUCGGCCGCCGACUCGGCCGGUCUCCCCACUAGGUCCAAGUGGGCACAAGUAACAACAGAUAGAUAGAUAGAUAUGUAUCAGAAAACUAUAAAUGCAAUAGUAGGAAAACUAUGCUACUAUGCCCAUAAUCAUGAAUAUGAAUGCAUGCAUCAUAUAAUAAAGGUUUGCCACCAUGCUAACAAAUUCGAUCCAUGUUCGAAUAGUAAUGUUCAAUGACAUUGAUAAACCUUCACCUUUCCAUUUACCCAAUCUGUGGCGAGGCCCUAGGGCUCACCUAUAACUCACCUUUCAAUACUAAAUUAGGGAGGGAGCUCCAAGUGCACCCAAGCCCGGGACCGUCUGCGGACCUCCAUGUGGUUCGGACCUCCAAGUGGUCCUAGUCGCAUGACACUCCGGAGUACUCGACGACAAUCCCCUCCAUGUGGGGAUAUGGAUGGCUAUACCACCCCAAAAGCAGACUGUGAGCUAGAUCUAUCCUCUCCAAGUGAGGAUACACUACCACUAGGGUCAACAACCCAAUCCAAUCCUCUCCAAGUGAGGAUGCACUACAACUAGGGUCAACAACCCAAUCCGAUCCUCUCCGAGUGAGGAUGCCCUACAACUAGGGUCAAUGUCUCAAUAACUCAUCGACAACCUCUCCAUGUGAGGUUACUUAGGUUUACUAAGUUCUUGUCCACAAGGCAUUUUCUAAGGGGUCCACCUAUCCCUAGGUUCUCAAACCUCUAGUGUCAUUUACACUACAUUAAUGCCACUCGUCAUCAUUUAACAUUUGGAUGCCACUCGUUUGUUCUUUAACAUUAACACUACUUUCUAUGUCAUCGACACCCCCAUCGGGUUCAUCUCUUUUCUUUCGCAUCAUAGGAUCCACGUUCCGACCCAAUCCUCAUCUAUCUAAGUCACCAAGUGUUCCAAGUACACUAGGUUAUCAUUUAGAAAGCAUAAGGAAUGGAGCUACUAUGCAAUCCUACAAUGCAACAUGUAAAAGAUGAGAUUAAAUGCAAUCUAAGACAUAGAAAGGAGUUCGAAAGCUUCGGGAUGGCACCCCCCACCUUUUAUCGAUGUAGAGGCUUGGAAAUUCUUCUCGGCGAACCUUACGAAAUGGCUUUAACCUUCCUUGCCCAAGACAAUGCUAAUUCGGCCCUAUUUUGCCGAGAACUUCACGCCGGCUCGCCGAAUGCUAAAACCGACUUCGCCCCCGCGNAGGGUAAGUACAAUAAUAAUAGCAAUAAUGACUGCGAUAUAAAGGCAUAAUUAAAAUGCUAAAUUACUAAACUCAAGUAUAAACGAUGUCAUGGUGAUGUACAUCUACGAUAUCAAAAUAGUAGGUCAUUAACCUUCAUGAAUACAUUAUGCAUAAGUUCUGUCAUGGCAACCAAGUAUGCUUUAAUGCAAAAUGGAGACUAUCAAGUAUACUACAUGUCUCAACACUAGGCUAAAAGCAUAUAAAUGUAAUUCAACUUCUAAACCUAUCUAGUAGUGAUUAACCAUUCUCAACACCGUGUCGAUUUUCAUUUCCAAUUAAGGACCUACCAAAGGUAGUCUAGCUUGUGCCGCCUAAGUGCCUGUGGUAGUCCAACAUCCCUACUCUUGGAAUGUGUCUGUCCCACUCGACCCCGUAGGCUUCUCAAUACCGCACGAGCGAACAUAAGUCGCGUAGGCUAAUUCCGGAGUGCCGGCUUGUAGGGAGCGACCCUCACAAGCAUGUGCGAAUGAGCACAAAUGGCAAGCAAGCAUAGUCCAAGUCUCAAAUAUCCAAUCCUCAUGUCUCUAACAUGGUAUGGUCACUGGCAUCCCGAAGAUCUAGUUUAAGUCACAAUGUGAAGUUUCAACAUUUGCUAUGCCUAGUGCCCCUUGAUGACACUUAGGCAAUCUGAUGUUCAACAUGCAUUCCAAAUCCCUCAAUGGCCCUAUCCGCUAGGUUCUCACAUGUCCCGAGCUCAAUGCCGCUUGAUGACAUUAGCUCUCUAGUUCACAUACCUUCUAAGUGGCAAUCUUGUCAUCUUUCAUGUCACAAGUGAACUCAAGUUUAAAUGCAUGAAUCCGAACUCAUUUACACUAUAGAAGUAUGAAACCAAGUCUCAUAAAGAAUGCUAAAUGCAACCAUAAAUCUCCCAAGCAACUCCCUACUACAAAGGGGUCCAAAAUUUCAUCAUAUAUAACAUAGACCUUUUAGGCAUUCUAAAAUUCACAAUAAAUACAUAUAACAAGAAUAUGCAUACCUUUUCAUUUAACGAUGCUUAAUUAAGCACAAAUGAGAAUUUCUCAAUGUGUGGCUAGGUCAAACCCACCGAACCGUCGCGUAGCAUCUCGUUUCGCCGAACAAAGUUGUCCCCGAGUCCCAAAAUACCCUAAAAGCAUUGAGCGACAAGAUACACGGGCAUUACGAUCAAUCUAUAAGGUCAAACUUUAACAAAAUUAGCAAAAGGGCUAAAACUCACCCAAUGUGUGGAAAAUCUCUCUCAAGCUCCAAAAGAGAGCUAAAUCCCUUCCAAUCCAAGCCCAAGGAAGGUUCUAAUCCAACCAAUUUAGUUCCAAAAGCCCUAGAUCAAAAAGCCCCAAAAUCAACCCUAAAACCUCAUUCUAGGGUUCCAAUACAAUAAAACCUCAAAUCCAAGGUCUAGAUGGAGAGAAAGAGCUACCAACCUCUAAGAAACUCCAAUCCAAGCUCCAAGGGUGAAGUUCUCCUCUUUGGCAAGCUCCAAGUCCAAGCUUCAUGCACCAAGGAAGAAGAGAGGGUGAGGAAGAUGCUCCAAGUCCACUAGUAGCUCUCAAACUUCUUCUUCUUCCUUCCUUCUUCUCCUUCUCCUUCUCCUUCUUCUCUAUCUAGGGUGGAGAGAGAGUUAAGAGGAGAGAAAUGAGGAGAGGAGAGAGGGGAUGGGUCAUAUAGACCAUCUAUUGUAACAAAAUCCAGCUAGGUCCUCCAAAAAUCCAAAAUUACCACAGCCCGGUCUGGGCAGUUUUCGCCCAGAGGGACCGGUCUCUCCCCAGCAGGGACCGGUCUUUCCCUGCGAACCCGAAAAACCAACGUUCGGGAACCGGUCUCUCCCUGUGUGGGACCGGUCUCUCUCUGCGAAGGCGCGCACGGGGACCGGUCUCGCCCGCCAGGGACCGGUUGUCUCAGGGCUGCCGCAACACUGUUCACUGGGGGACCGGUCUCUCCUCCCAGGGACCGGUCCCCGAGAGUAAAAACUCUCAGGACUUAUCCAGAAUUCCAGUUUUCGAACUUUUUAGGUCGGAAAACAUUCUACAACCCUCCACCAAGUGCGGAAAAGCUCGAAAUACAUCCAAACACUCGAACNACCUCUAGUGUCAUUUACACUACAUUAAUGCCACUCGUCAUCAUUUAACAUUUGGAUGCCACUCGUUUGUUCUUUAACAUUAACACUACUUUCUAUGUCAUCGACACCCCCAUCGGGUUCAUCUCUUUUCUUUCGCAUCAUAGGAUCCACGUUCCGACCCAAUCCUCACCUAUCUAAGUCACCAAGUGUUCCAAGUACACUAGGUUAUCAUUUAGAAAGCAUAAGGAAUGGAGCUACUAUGCAAUCCUACAAUGCAACAUGUAAGAGAUAAGAUUAAAUACAAUCUAAGACAUAGAAAGGAGUUCGAAAGCUUCGGGAUGGCACCCCUCACCUUUUAUCGAUGUAGAGGGUUGGAAAUUCUUCUCGGCGAACCUUACGAAAAGGUUUUAGCCUUUCUUGCCCAAGAUAAUGCUAAUUCGGCCCUAUUUUGCCGAGAACUUCACGCCGGCUCGCCGAAUCUAAAACCGAUUUCGCCCCCGCGUUUUGUGAUCUAGCAAUUGGGUUUCCAAGGCUUCAAAUGGGAUCAAUCUCAUACUUUCACAAAAACUCCAUUUUGGAGCCCUAUGUUUGCACCUAUAGCAAACCACCAAUAAAUCCCUAGAUUCUUGGGAUUGAUCUACUUAGAAGCAUGCUUAGGGUCUAUUUGACCCAUUCCAAAGCAUCAAAACCCAAAACCCUAAGUUCUAGAAGCUAGGGUUUAGUAGCUUACCUCUAGAGCUACUUCAAAGAGAAGAUGAGAGGGAGAUGUGGGUGUCCAAAGCCUUCCUCUUGAUCUCCUUCUUCUUCUCCUUCUUGUUCUUCUUCUUCCUUUCCUUCCUCUCUUUCUUGUUCUUCUUCUUCUUCUCCUUUCUUUUCUAGAGAGAGAGAGAGAAAAUAUGAGAGGGAGAGAGUGUGAGUGAGGGUGAGAGAGGAAGAGAGCUCAGCCCCUCUAAUCCCCCACUUACUAAUGCCAUUUUGCAUAAAAACCCCUCAACUUUUAAUCCUAUACACUGCCCUUACUGGGCAGAAUUCGCGCGGAAGGACUGGUCUCCCCGACUUGGGACCGGUCCCCGAGGGCCUCCCUCGGGCGCACGCGUUCGGGAACCGGUCUCUCACCGAGAGACCGGUCCUUGGGAGACCGGUCCUCACCUGAGAGAUCGGUCCCCGAGAGUUCGAUUUUUAGGACUUAGCCAAAUUUCGACAUUUCUCUCGGUUUUCACCUACGGGGACCGGUCCUUCCCAGCUCAGGGACCGAUUGCAUCAAGCAACCCCGCGACUGUAGCUACGGGGACCGGUCCUCCCCUCCAGGGACCGGUCCCAGAGAGCAAAAUAUGCCAAGUCCAGAUUUUUGCUUAUUUGCUCUCGCGGACUCAACUCCAAAGCACUUUUUGUGUUUUGGACAUUUUCAACUCGCACAAAGGGUAUUCUCUCGACAGUUAGUCGAUCCUGGAUGAAGUACAAUCCUCGAAUUUCGAGAAUUCACUUCCUCACACCUAGGGUUUCAUGAAUCCUCAAGAACAACAAAUCUCAUGGUUAAACUUUAACCAAGCUAAUUUAGAAUCAUCUAGAGAUUCUAAACAUUUCAUUUACAAAAGAUUUAAUCCAAACCCUAUCUUAAAUCACAAAACUCACCAUGGCUACAUAGCUUUCCACUAUUAAAGAGCUUGCUUCACCAUUGGAGAGCUCCAAGCUUCACCUCCAACUUCAUCUUCUCCAACUUCAUCUUUAAUGGAGAAACUUGCUAGAGAGAGAAAACUAGAGGAGAGAGAAAUGUGAGGAGUGGGCUAAAGAGCAAGAGAGAAAGAGCUCUCUCUCUCUCUCUUGGGUUGAACAAAACAAAGGGAAAAGCCCUUUUGUUACACAAAUAGCCCCCUCAACUAAAUACAAUUUACUUUCAGUUUAGCAGCUCAGGAUCAGAUACUUUUCGUUGGCCCUUCUGAAUGUCCGUCUACGCUCAAAUUUGACAGUUAGACUCGGUUUUUGCUAAAUAAACGGAAUAUAUCUUAAUUUCUCAGUUUCGACCAUUUUUUGUCAGCGAAAGCUCUACUGAGCUGAAAUCUCUAGCAGAUAGCAGUCGGAUUUUAUUUUUCACCUUCCGAAUGUCAGAAUGACAUGAAACUUUAAAUCUAGCAUCAUAAAAAUAAUUCUGAUAUAUUCUCCAGUUUUCAUAAUUUUCUGACACUGUACAUUUUCUGCUAAAAUAUCAGUCCCGUUUCUCACAGAAAAUUCUAAAUUUUCUGUUUUCAUUCCGAUUUCAGCACAAGUCAUUUCCAAUUUAUAUUUUACUUCUUUAAAUCCAAUAAAAAUAGUAUCUCACACUAUUUUUGUCACGCCCCGCGACCGCCCGCCUAUUUGGCCGGGUCGCGGCGCCGCAACAGAUCGCCGAACGGACAGGGUUUCCCCUGUACUGCGGACAGAGUCUCCCCUGUACGUUCAAGGCAUAGCAAUCAAUACAAUGUACAAAGUUCCAACCAGGAACACAUUUCAAUCAAGAUUGCAUAAUGGAAGGUAUCAAACAACAUAACACAUCUUAUGUUAUUACAUGCAUUCACAUUCAUACAUUUUACAUCCCAAAUACUUAUUACAUUUAACUUCCAAAUACAAUCCGAUUUAACAUGAUUAUUACAAUCUUAUUCCUUUCAUUUUCUUACAUCUUUAAGAAAAGCCGACUCAGGGUACCGCUAUCUCUGGUCUCGGUGGUAGGGCGCUAACUAUGAUGCUACGCCCUCGCCUCGCGCCGCCGCGCCGCUCACGUGUGAACCUGUAACACCCCAAAACCACGUGGGGUGAGAACCAACUCCAUGGUUCCCAGUGGGUACGGCCACCCAAGGGAAAAGUUCGACCAAUAGGUCCAAGGGAGGCAACUGCAAGUUAGUUCAAUAAACAGAUAGAUAUAUAUAUCUUGAUUAUGCAACGAAUAAAACCAUGCAUUGCCUCACGAAUGCAAUAAUGUAAUGCUAUAUGCAAAUCAUGCAAUAAUGCAACUAUGCAACCAACUAGUAGUUCAUUUGACACUACUUUCAAAUCUGCUAACCAUAGCUCAUCCAUUCGAUAUCUAAGGUUUCCUCUAUCUUAGAUUCUUGUCAAUCACCGUUUUAAUCAUAAAGUUUCAUCUACCUUUACAAGGCUAACCACCCGACUCGGUCUUGAGUCAAUCGUCUGCGGAGUACCGCACUAGAACCAGGCUCGAGGCGAUGGACGUCUCACAUACACCUCAGCCCUAAAUCCUCUCGACUAGGAUACCAAAUCCAUAACUCAUAAGGUAUACUUGUUGUACAAUCAUUUGGCUAUGACCCAAUCUUACCGGUUAACCAUGUUAACCCCAAUAACUCACAACCAAAUUCCUUAAUAACGGGGGACUCGAACCUCCCUAGGGACCGUCAACUGGUGGGACUUUACCACGCCCAGUGGUGACCAACUCCGGAGCGCACCGCCCGAGGGGGAGCUACCUCCCUCAAGCCAAGACUUAUCGUGAGUGUCGAUCCAAUCCUCAACUUGAGGAUACAUAGCCACUAGUCACAAUGCCAAUGUCACAAUAGGUCUCUACCUAUUUAAUCAUGCCACUCUCUAUGUCAACUUGGACAAAUGUCAAUAUGGUUAAACUAUGUUUAACAAUCACUUUCUUGAUGCCAAUCAUGUCUCUAUUGUCAUUGUCACCCUUGUUUACUAAUGUUCAAGUCCAACUCUCACAUUUACACAAUAAUAGGGUCCUAACAUACAUGAAUGACACCAGAAUAUAUAUGAUCAAUCACCACAAGUGUUUGCUAGGUUCAAGAUGCUAGGUUUAAUGCCACUCGAUCUAAUAUACAUAUAGAUUGUCCACUAUGUUCCACAACAUGGCAAUACGUCAUCAAGUAUGUCUUUCUAUUUAACAUAAUCCACAAUAUGUAAAUUCAUAAUAUAUCAUCAUGCACAUAUACCACUAGCAUCACAUGAUUUGUCAACAUACAUAUAGUCAUUAUCCAAAAUAGUCCAUACGUAGCAUCUCAUGCAUUCUUUUAGCACUUAAUUCAUUAUGCAUUACAUUUAGCAUAUUCUACAACAUGUCAUCAUACAUUCCUUUUAUGAUGUUCUUAUAAUGCUAAUAUUCAUACGCCCUUUAUAUUAUGCAUUCAAAGCAUUAAUCAUAUGCAUUUAUCUAGCAUUUAUAUAGUAUAUUAACAUGCAUUCUUUUCACAUUCUUAUAUUAUGUCAAUAUGCAUCAAUNUAUCUGCCCCGUUUCCAACAGAAAAUUCUAAAUCUUCUGUUUUCAUUCCGAUUUCAGCACAAGUCACUUCUGACUUAUGUUUUACUUCUACAAAUCCAAUAAAAAUAGUUUCUCACACUAUUUUUAUUUAUUUUUAUUUUUAUACCAAAAUCUGGUAUGUUACAAUUUUUAUUUACUAUUAUUUUUAUAUUAAAAUCCGGUAUAUUACAAUUAUAUUCCUCUAUAUAAUAUACGGGAGUUUUUAGAAAACCCUAGCCGUCAUCUCUCUUUUCCUCUCUCUUCCAUCUUCUAGCAAAAGAGGUCUUUUGCAAAGGAGCUAGCACCCCGGUGAGGACAUCGAUCAAAUCAUCAACCUCAUGUGGAUACCUAUAGAGGCCGGACGCGUGUGCGGCUUCAAGAGAACCUAAUUUCACGAUCAUCAAAUUAAGGUGAAGAUCUAUCCGCGCAAAAGGUAAAGAUUCGAUCUUGGUUUUCUCCUUUAAUCUUAAAGAACAUGAGGGAUCCUAAUUGCGUGAUUUUUGAGAUUGGAUCUCGAGAGUUUUCAAAAUCAAAUUUGUUUGAUUUAUUUUUCCGCUGUGUUUUUACCAUACGCAAUUUUCUAACAGUGGUAUAAGAGCCAAGUUCAUGUUUUUAAGAUUAAAAUUAUGAUUUUGGGUAUUUUAAACCAUUCUACGCCGGUUGAACGACAUAUGGAUCGUCUUUGGCUAAUUCGAAAAAUUUAAAUUGAUCAAAGGAUUUAAUCGAUGAUUUCUAGCAAACAAGCAAAAAAAAAAAAGAAGAAGAAGAAAGUUACUGUAAUAUUUUAAAAUUUAAAAUUUAAAAUUAAAUUUUAAAUUUGAUCAUUUUAAAUUUUAAAAUUUGAAUUUUAAAAUUUAAAAUUAAAAUUUAAAAUUUAAAAUUAAAUUUUAAAUUUGAAAAGUUGAGAUUUAAAAAUUCAAAUAUGAAUUUGAAAUUUUAAAAUUUACAUUUAAUGUUAAAUUUAUAGUUUGAAUCUAAACUAAAAAUAAAAAAUUAAAGUUUGAGCUCAAAAUCAGAAUCAAUUUUGAAGGAUUCGAAUACUUCAAAAUCAAUUUUCUGAUUUUGAAAGACAGAAUCAUAUUUUUCAUCUCUGUCGUCCUAAAUGCUUUACUGAACUCAAAAAUUAAUUUUAGUCAGUCACGCCAAAUCAGUUUUUGGACAGGCCAACAUCGUGACCUGUAGUUAUAUACACCUCUCUCCCCGUCGCUGCAACCAAAUCGUGCACCAUCGCGCAUGCCGGUCCAUCAUUCCCCUCCAUCGGCUCUCUCUCCCUCUCUUCGUCGCCCUCAAACCUCCCCCUCGCCCUCGCCCUCGUCCCAGACCACCUACUCCCUCUCCCUCUCUUCUCUUUCUUCAUAUAGCGAGCAUCCCCGCAGCAUUUUUCGUUCCCCACGAGCAUCCUCGCAGCGACAGCCCAUACAACCGUAACCCCCGGCGCAGACGGUUGCCCCCACGAGCACCCCGCCUAUCCCCCCACGCAACGCAGCCACCAGGUCAGUUUGCUAAUUCGUUCAAAAUUAGGUUAUUAUUUAUUAUUAUGUUACAUAUGUCUAAUGCCAUGAAUAUGAUAUGAAUUUCUUCAAUAUAGUGGGCUAUUUUCUCUUCAGUUUAUGCUUCCAUGGCAAGGUUGGAGGUUCUCACAAACCCUUGAUUUAUAUCCUUUUUCUUGGAUAGUUCGAUGCACUAGAUAGGGAAACCCUAGCCUAGAAUUUCUGAUUUGGGGCUAUUGUCACUCGUCUUGCCCAUUUUCUAGGGUUUCUUUAUUAUUUAUAAUGCUUUACGUUGUGUAGCUGACUGGUGCUGUUAAUUUGAUCAACAAGACUGUUAAUUCUGGUUCGUGAGAUGUUUCUUCUAAAUGGAACUGUAAUUUAACAAAAAUACACUCAUCUUAAUGUAAUUUUUGGGACCUUUGGGUUUGCUGUGGCGCCUUGUCGCGCAUUAUCUUGCUUCUUAGUAUCUGCUUGAAUAAGAUAUAUAUGCUAUCUUUUGCUCAAUUUGAUAGCGAAAUAUUUUUCUUUGAAAGAUUUUUUGAAUGUUAUUGAAGGAAGACUGGUUCAAUAGUGGAGGUGCAUUUUACUGAUUGUCCAAAACAAUUAGUCUUCUAAAAUUUUUAAUGAGAUCAAUCUUGUAAAUUGAAUAUUAUGACGUCACAUAGUUAAAGAAUAGAGGGUGAAAUUAGAGUCAAAUUCGAAUAUCGGGGGACCUUUUAUUGAAUAAUCUUAUAUGGGAUGCGGAGGAUAGGGUUUAGAGAACUUUUGAGAUCUUAAGAAUUACGACAUCAUAUAAUUGCAUGUUCUUAAAAGUAAGUGCUCUUGGGAUACUAGAAUUGCCUUUUGGUUUUGAAUCGAAUAAUUGUGGUUUUAUUAUAGUCAAGAUUUAGUAAGUGUUUCGUUUUAUUUGUGAUUAGUUUGUUAUGAUAUGUAGAGUAAUUUGAUGAGAUGAGAGAUCAUUUAAGGUGGCAAAAAAAAUAUGGGAGAAUAACUAGUUAAAAUGAUUUAUAAGUUUAUAUUUAUAAUUGGGACUUUUGUUUAUGUACCCUUCAUUAAGAAUUGUAAUUAAUAACUAGGGGAGAGGGAUUGAGAGCAGCCAACGAUGACGAGAAGGGAGCAGCCAACGGCGACGAGCAUCCUCCCUUUCGCCUCAAAUCGAACCGUCCAAAAUAAUUACAACACUGCUCUCAAUCCCUCUCCCCCCUCCCAAAAAAAAACUGAUUCUUUAUUGGGCAGGUGAGUCGCUGUUUCCCCUUCAGAGGUCGUUGUCAAUUGAAAGGAAAAAGAAAUCCGCAGCGUUCUAGAUGUUUUGCGGAGAUGAGUUUUCAUUUGCUGGAGGGUAUUAGAUAUUCUGUCGCCGAAUGAAAAGGCUGCUGAUUCCAUUGAUUAUUGAGAGGAGACGAAUGGGGGGUUUUCUCGGUCGAUUCUUGUUGCCUCUGCUGCUUUUAGCAGGUAUUUUUUUGUUUUAAUUUUUGUCUCUCUUUCUCUCUCUCUCUAAUUGCUAUUGACAGCCUGGAUUUGCAACAAUGUUCACAGAAUUAAUUUAUUCUUGCUUGAAUAUACUAGGACCAGUUACAUACAGUUGCUGUCUGUUGAGUGUCUUGGAUACGUUGUUAUAGAUGUUGCUUUCUGUGCAAUAAUUGGGGAGCGCUAAUAUAACUGGACAUACAUACCAAUCCUGCAUUUGAUCAGUUAGAUAGCUUCUCUAUGCGGUUUGGGUGGGGGUGACUUUGGAAGCUCAUUAAUAUGUAGGGUUGUAUAGCCCAAAUUUAUGGGGUUUCUUUGCUUCGGAGUUGAAGGUAGAUUGCCUUUUAGAACGAAGUUUAAGUGCUUUGUAGAACAAAAUUUUAAGUGCCUAUUGGCAUGGCCAUGCCAAUCGUGUCGAUAAGAUAUCAGCACUAUUUGUCCCCCGUGCCGGUGGCACGCUCAACACCUCUUUAUUCGAAAUUAGUAAGUAAUUAUCUCAAUAAAAUGCAAAAAAAUUGAUGAAGAUAUAUAAUAGGUAAUUAGAAAAUAUUGGUGCUAAAGAAAAUAAAUAUUUCAUGUCAUAGUGUGUCAGACAUAGGUUCUUUUGCCACCAGACCGUGCCGUUUCAUCCUAGUAAGUUUUUGGCUCCACGACACUUAAAUCCUUGUAUUAGAAUAAAAAAGUUGAAGAUUUUUAUUGCUAGGUUUAGAAGGCAAGUAUGAAGGAAGAAAGUUGAUUAAACGUGCUCUAAAUGAUAAGUUAAGGAUAACUUGAGAGAAGGAAACACUUAUGUGAACUAGAUGCUGCUGCAACACUUAUUGAAGGCCACGGAUCAACAAAAGACGCGUGGGACUUAGACGUAUUCUUUAUGUAUCUUCAGAACACUUAUUUUCUAGAAUAGUAGGUGCUACUUGAUAUAUUGCUGAAUGUUGGAAGAGCAUUUUUGAAAAAGUGCUUUGCAGUUUUGUGAACUAAAAUUCAUACCACAUAGAUAGAUGAAACAAUGUAAUCCUUGUGCCAUAUAAGGGAGUGUUGGAAGUGGCCUUAUUUAAGAUUUCAAUUAAAGCAAAAGCUACAAUUGUCCAGUUUAGUUUGGUAGCAUUUGUGGAGAAUUUAAUCCGCAAAAAUAGUAGAGAGAAAAGCGGGUGGUGCUCGUGGAGGAUUUCUUUGCUUUUCUUGAUAGAUGAUUGCUUUUUAGGAGGUUUUGUCACAAAAUAAAGGGCAAUAAGCACAUGAAGCAUUAACAGGUGUACGAUUUAAAGGGUAUUUAAGCACAGAAAGCUCUAACAAGUGUAUGAUUUUGAAAGGUUCAACUUCAAGCAGCCUUCCUCUUGUAUGGUGGUUGUUUCUUCGGGUCGGCAUGGAAUCGGCCGAAUCACAUAAAAUGAAAUUGAAUUGAAUCGGCAAUUUUGGUUUCAGGUCAUAGAAUUGAAAAACAACUAACACUGAAUAGCAAAGCUUGUGCAUGUGAGUGAAUGCAUGUAUGUAUAUGUGUAAGCAUAUUUCAUGUAUAUGUAUGUACAUUUAACACCAAGUCAUCACCCAAUUUGCCAGUAAACUAAAUCAACUUGAAACGUGCAAUUUAAUAAACGCAAUUCCUCUCAAACUAGUCAAAUUGAUAAACUGAACUGGCUCAAACCAACAAAACUGAAUAGAAACAAAACUUGAGACUUUUGAUUUGGUGUUGUUUGCUUUUUUCCUUGCAAUUGUUUUAAUUUUGGUUUUGAUUUUUUGAAACCCAUUUAAACCAUCUCGAUUCCAAUUUAUUUUGGAAACUAAAGCAUAGCCAAGCUAGCUGUUACUAUGAUUUGAAUCCACAAUGCUAAGGUCUAUGAGCCUACAUUAUCAUUGUGGCGUGGCCUCUAUAUAGUGUUCAAAGUAGAAAAGGAAAAAAAAAAGGCUUACUUUUGAGAUUGGGAGGUGCAAAUUGAGGACAAAGGAUAUUGUUCUAAAAAGUGGACAGGUGCACCGAUCAUCUUAAUUCAACAAGUUCCUUGCAAGCAUUGCUAUUUUGUAGGUCAUCUAUUUAUUGCAGAAAGUUUUUUCAAGAGUUACAGGAUUCCAGCAAAAUGAAAAUGCCAUAGGGAAGAAGAAAGUGGGAAAGUAGAGAGUUUCUAGUUGAAAUCAAUAUAAGUUUGACACUGUCAUAUUAGGUUCUUUCUGAAUUUUUGGACAUUAUUUCAACUUAUAGACUCCUAUUUGGAAUGGAUUCCCAUCAGAACUUGUUCCUCUUAGAGGACUCAUAGCUGGCAAGUAAUUAACCCAAAUAGUACUCUUCCAGAGAAGAUUUUAGCUGCAAUAUUUCUCACCAUACUUAGUGGUUGAAAUAUAGUUAAAAGUAUAGCAUGUGUACAAUAUUAAAUGAAUGACAUUUCAUUUUAAAGUCCCCUAAGUUUGAAAAAUGCAAUGUAAACUAAAUAGGACCCAUCUAUACCUAGACUCAAUCACACUCGAAAUUAAUUUGAAAUAUGGGACUUUUUUUAUAACUUUAAAAAAAAUUAUUUGGUUUCAAAUAACCUGUUAAAAAUUUAUUUGGCCAAAUCACCCUAUUUUGUCCAACUUAGCGCUAGGGUGGAGCAAUAAAUAAAAUACGGUGAAUUUUUCACCAUCUUCAAAUAAAAGCGAUAAAUGAUUCACCGUCAAUGCCAUGUGGAUGUGAGAGUUAAAAAGGCGGCGAAUCGUUUACCGUAUUUUUCUUUCUCAAUUAAAAGAGGUGAAUGAUUCAUCAUUUUGUCAUAACAGUUCCCUACAUGCAAUCCUAGCAACCCCACAAAAAUCCUAAUUACCUACACAAACAACUCACAAACAACCCUAAUGAUUUGAAUACAGAAAUGCGGUAACACCGUUUUCUAAAGAUGGUGAGUGAUUCACCGCUUUCAAUGCACACAGUAAACGAUUUACCGUCUUUCACUUCUCCUUCCACAUGGCGCUGAGUUGGACAAAAUACGGUUGGUUUGCGAAAUAAAUUUUUAUUAGGGUUAUUUGACUUAAUAUAAUUCGUUAAAGGUUAUUCAAAAAAAAAAUGAAAUUUGUUUAUGUAAUCUUGCUUUAUCAAGCAACUAGAAUAAUGUAUAGAUGCUAAAGUUACUAUUGCACAAAUGAUCCAUAUGCUACAGCGAAACAGUUUUAGCUAUCGUGAAAUAGUUUUAGCUACAAUUUAAUAGAAAUGUAAUAAUUAGUAAUAGUCUUAAUGAUCAUGCGUUUCUCUUUCAAGCUUUAAUCAAAUUGUUUAUAUCAAGAAGAUACUUAGAUUUUGAUGGUGAUGCAGAGUGGGAUUCACAUAGGAUUCAGUUGAGUCAUCUUUUAUUUAUUGAGUCAAUUUUUGUAUUAGGUUUGGUUGAGUCGUUAGGAUAUUAUAUUUUUUUUUCUAAUUCUCGGAAUUAUUAUUUUUUAAUUUAUUUCAGGGAUUGCUUUUAUUUUCUAUGUGGAAUAAAACCCUAAAAAUUAGGGAUAUAUUUUAGGGCCUUUUUUAGAUAUGUUCGAAUUAGGAAAAUUUCGAUUUGUUUUAGAUUACAAUUAUAUUUGACGGCUAUAAUUAUAGCCUAUGCCUUGUAAUUUUAGAGACAAUUUAUGAUGAGAUAAAGUUUGUGUUUCAUGUUUAGACUGCGAUCAUGGUAUCUUCUUCUUCCCUUUGCCUUGUGCAUCGACGAAAAUCUAUCUUUCUAAAGGUUCUUUCUUCUCUUUUCUUCAUCUAUUUCUUCUCUCUUAUUUCUCGCUUCUUCUUCAUUUAAUCCUUACUCUCUAAUCUUUUUAAAGUAUUCUAGAAUUUUCUAAAAAAUUAUAAAAUUCAGUUUUAUGAAGAUUUGGGCUCAUCACAAGCAAGAUAAAUUAAGACUUUUCUAAUUUGUCCUGCAUUAGAUGGUUUUAGGAUAUGUUUGUUUAUGUCAAGAUUGUAGUGCGGAAUGGUGAAUAUGUGAUAGGAGUCUAAAAGCAUAUGUUAUGCAUUAGCAAUAUCUUGCACAUUAAAAUCAAUCUUGUACAGAUUUGGUUUGGUAUGGAAAAUGUCUAUUGUCGAGUAAAGUUAGUGUCUCUUGAUCUGAGUCUUCUAAUUUAUUCAGAAAUUGACUGACAAAGUCUUGCUUAUCUUAAUUUUCAGAAUUCUGAAUGCCACUGUACGUAAAUUGCCUCGUUUGGCAUUGGUUUAAUGUUUAAAAGGCUCAAUCUUACUAAGUAAUGCUCGUUAAUUGUUGUUGGUUGAUGGACCGUUCAUUGAUCUGGAUGAACUUUGAGCAUCUGAUUUGUAUUUUGUUUGUCACACCAAGUUCUUUGAUAUGACCUUGGGCGAUAGUGGUGGAAUCAUGGAUAGAACUAUAAUGCAAGAAUCUUGUGGGGCUGAUGUAGCAUGGCCGUUUUUGCCUUCUGGAGGUUUUUGAUGCAAGAAUGUUUUAGUGCUAUCACACAAUGGUGCUGUAGCAUGGCUGUAUUGUAGUAGGUUAAGGAGAAGAAGAAAAAGAAGAAUGAGAUAGAAGAAUAAAGACGAAGAUUGGGGACAAGAAUGUCACGCCCUUGUUCCACAGCGGAAGCCCAGGGGACGACAACAGACCGCCGUGUGUGCACAAUCUUGCACACACGAAGCGUCCAAUCGAACAACAACAACAACGAAAGCGAGUAACUUUAUAAUCUACAACUAAAGAAUACCACAAAUCACAAAUUAAUGGUUCUAGAACUACGAAGUUAAGAUAAAGACAUGUAUUAGAGCACUAUGCACAAGCUUAACUACCGUACAUCACUAUACAGAAUCAUAUAAACCUCAAACCCCAAAAAGUAAAAGUGCAAGUAAAAGGCCUUGGCCUCGCCAGUCCUUAUGUACAGUAAACAUAUCCAAAAUCCACUAAUUGGUGGUCCUCUAACACACAUGUACACCGGUAGAAGAUGCUAUCUACUGCACGAUCCCCUUACCUCGAUCAGCGGAAGGUGCACCUGUCUCUGAAAAGUAAACCAUAAGAGGGUGCGAGAACUACUAAACAGAAGUUCCCAGUGGUACAGUUGGCGACAACCAUGACCUUCCCACUAGGUCUACAAAAACAAGCAUAGGUAACAAUAAUUAAUUCCACUAAAUACUAAGCUAUAAAGCAUAAUACGAGUAAUAAAUUUCUACUAUUCAUCAUGUUUCUACGCAGGUAAUGAACAUGAAGGAAAAUGACUAAAUCAUGCAUCAAUGCUAUUACUAAUAGAUAAAUGCAAUAGUAUAUUUGAUUGCAAUAACCGACUCAUAGGUCCGGUCAAGCCUGUGCCCGCCUAGUGUGCGGCCACACUGCUGCAUGUGUGACGGCGAUAUCUAGGCUACUGUCUUUGCUAUCGCUGGCCAGUCUCCGAAGUGACACUCGAGGGGAGUGACUCCUACCGAGUCUAAUAGUGCGUAAUUCUGUCAAGCUCUAUGUGGCUCUUCAGGCUAUAGUCUUUGUGAUGAUCAAAAGAUCACAAUUAACCAAUCCGGUGUUCUUAAUGUUAUAAAAAAUAAUUUCUAUGUCUAGUGUCACUAUGACAUAUAUUCUACCUCAAUGUCCAAAACGUCUAUUUACUACUGCUGCUCUAACCCACGGUCUUUAUUACCUAGUUCAUGACAAUCGAGACAUGUUUAAAUGAGGAAUGCUCUACAACCAUGCAUAUGAUGUUAACUCGCCCCUCUUGGCCUAAUCUAGCAUAUAUGCUUAAUAUACUAUUAACCAUUUACUAUAUUACAACUAUAGAACAUAGGAUUUACCUGACAUGACAAAGAUGAGUGUUAACAUGCAAUCAUGCUAGAAUUCUAAUUCUCUACUUGAUUUCGUACCAUCGCCUUCUAUCAAUAUAAGUAACAUAUAUAUAUAUAGAGCUAGGCUGGUAUACUAUUGGUUGCACGGAGGCCUCCGUGCUAUCAAGUUAUUUUCAAUGAUGCGGCUUCCAAAUCGACGAUCGGCUCCGUUAGACUUGAUCUACACUAUUAAAAGUAUUUGGAACUAAAUUUCAUAAUUUUUCGACAUCAUUUGACUAGUGAUCAAAAGGUCUCAAAAUUGACAAUUUUAAUGGUAGAUGUGAUGCGUUUGUGAAUUUAACAUUGUAAAACAAUCCAAAUCUGAUGAAAUUUUUAUAGAAAAUUCUUUUCACUAUUUAGAGUAAGAUUAGUACCUCUGAUCUUAAAUUCAAGUUUUUUAUCAUUAUUUUUUAUGAGAUUUUUAUUUUUAGCCGUUCAUAUUUAGACUACUCGUUUGAUAGGUAAAUGAUACCGAAAAUUUAUGAAAUAAUGUAGAUCAAGUCUAACGGAGCCGAUCGUCGAUUUGGAAGCUGCAUCAUUGAAAACAACUUGGUAGUACGGAGGGCUCCGUGCUACCGAUAGUAUACCAGCCUAGCUCUCUCUCUCUCUAUAUAAAUAUAGAGUCUGGCCACUAUACUUUUAUGAGUAUAGACCCCUUUGUACUCAUAAGUUUUCGGUCGUUAGAUCUAGCUCUUUGAUCAUUUCCUCCCGUUAGAUCAUACUAUUCAACCAACCACCCACUCAACCCUAAGGGACCACUAUCAUCAUAACCGGGGCCGCUAUCAUCCUAACCACACAUUUCUUCAUCCAACGGCCGAAAACUUAUAAGUACAAAGUGGUCCUAUACUCAUAAGAGUAUAGUAGUCUACUAUAUAUAUCAUAUUAUAAUAUAGAUUAUUAUAUAUAUAUAUAUAUAUACUAUAUAUAAGAGUUCCGGCUAAUGUGCUUGUAAAAUCACCCAACACUCUUUGGUACCUUGUAAGGUUUUUACCGUUAGAUCUACGCUUUGAUCAUUUUCAAGCCGUAUUUAGAUAUACUAUUCAACCAACUACCCAUCUCAACCCCUAGCGUGCCCACAUUAUUCUAACCGCACAUCCCUUAAUCCCAAAGAGCCGAAAACUACAAAGACCAAUGACUUGGUACUUUUAAAAGCAUAGAGUCAUCUAUAUAUAUAUAUAUCAAUUUAGACAUAGAAGGAAAUUCGCUGUUUCUCUGGCGGAUUGGAACCCACCUUGGAUCGCUAUCAAAAGCGGCAACGUAAUCGUCUAUACAGCCAUUCUCGGUUCAUGUCCCGCAGGGACUCCACGAAAGUAAACUUCAAAUAUCAGGAAGGAGUUAGCAAAGCAAAGGAUACCAUAAAAUGCCAUACAAUUUUGCGAUUUGAUCAAAAGAGAGGGGCGGGGGGUGGGGGUGGGGGGGGGGGUGUUAGAUUAAAACUAAUCCAAAUUACGUUGAUGAUCCGUGUGAGGUAAUUCCAAACCAGCGGGAAGUGACAAGAGGUUUAGUAAAAUCCUCCAAACGCUCAAUGGGAGAAUCGGAACUACGAAAACCUAAAAUUCAACGGAAGAUCAAAAUUCUAUUUAACUUUAAUUACAUCAAUUUCACACCGGUUACAUCAAAUUCCAGCAAAAUAAAGUGUAAUUCAAACUCCCCUACUUUCCUCUUCCUCCCGUGAAUGUCGAUUCAAUCGCCGACCGCGGAUUGCACGAAAUUGACUCUCCCUCUCUCCCUCCUUGCUCCGCUACUGUUCCAGAAGCAACUGAUGGCUGGUUGCUGCUGCUGCUAAGCAGCCAGCAGCAGCAGCUGCUGGCUACUGCUGCUGCCGUUGCUGUCAAGCAGCCAUCAGCAGCAGCUGCUGGCUACUGCUGCUGCUGCUGCUGUUUCUCAGCCAGCAAGAGAGAGAGAGAGAGAGAGAGAGAGAGAGAGAGAGGGGAGGAGGAGGAGGAGGAGAAAAAGGAACUGUAAACGAGAAAAUACUUACGUCGCAAGCGCAGUUCGCAUGUGCAAUUUCGAUCGGCUCGUCGGAUUAAUUGGAACUUCACAAUCCUAUUUCUUCCUUUUCUCCUCCUUUCUCUUCUUCUUCUCUUCUUUCUCUCUCUGUAAGCCUCAGGUGGAGUGACAGGGCAUUCAAGAAUGCUCCUGAGGCUUAGUGGAUUUCCACUAAAAUUGGACAAUUGCAAGAUAGUCCAAUUAACACAAGUAAUGAGAUUUUAGUCCUCAACAAGUGGAAAUUGAGUUAUUGAGUUCUUUUUCGCGUCAAUUUCGUGCCAAAACGUCUGCAACCUACGCAAGCCCUGUAAGAGCAUGCUGACUAUAAAGUCAUACUGUAAUCUUGUCUAUUUGGCAAGGUGCAUUAUUCUAGAAAGAAGGUGAGAGGAGGGACAGAUCGGCUAACCUAGCCAAACAAAGGAAACAUUAUGGAAAAGCCCUCGAAUGAACUAAAACACUAUUCCUAUUGAUCAUCCUCUGGUUACAAAGAGGAGCAUUUUGUGUUAUUCAAAGAUUUCAUGUGCCUAGUGGAAUUUCCAAUUAUUGGGUUUGUGUAUUCUAAACGACAACAACUUAUUUGAAAUUCCUAACUAAGAGAUUCAUUCUAAUCCUUUUGUAACAAUCAACUUACUUUGAAAAUAUACCACAAUAUUUUUGAAAAGGUGAUAGUACUCGAUUUCACUUGUCUUAGUUCCACACAUCGUACUGCAUCAGCACAAAAACAUGAUGCAGUAAUGUAGGAUUGAAAUUAUAUAUAUAUUUUUAAUCUCCGACUAAGAAGUUCGAUUUUUUAUAUUUGUUUGCUGUUAUUGAGAAUGGAGACUCCAUUAAAUUAUUGCUGGAGUACAAUAUUUAUUUAUUUUGUUAAUUUAGCUGCUUUUCCUUAGUUAAACUCUAUUUGCUAUUAUUGUGCUGUUUUUGCAGCUUCUCUACUUGACUGGAGUUUGAUAUCUCUUAUCAAUAUGUUGAUGUUUAUUGCCAUUCAGCUUACUACUCCAAGAAGAGGUAUGUAUUAUUGAAUUACCACAUGUUAUAUUCUUCUUUAUUGCUUGUAGGUUCAGUGUCUCUUGGUUCUGGAGAAAUGGUUCUCUGGAGGACUCAUAUUUAAUUAGUUGUUACGAUGACUUUAGAUUUUUCAUGAUUUCCUUAAGCUUUUUGAGAUCCUAAAUACUGUCAUCUAAGCUAUCUUCUUAUAUCUACGUCAUGUUAUAUGUAAUUUUGUUGCUCAGAGUAAUUGUAUUAAGCUGCUUGUAUUGUUUUCUUUUCUUUUCACUUUUUUCCCCUAUGUUUGGGGCCUGUUUGGUUCCUCGAAAAAUACCACAGAAAACUUGUUUUAUGGUGGAAAAGUUUUUUUUUCCAUGUGUUUAGAGUAGAUUUUUUGGAAAAUUAUUUUCCAUUUUUCACGGAAAACUUUCCUUUUCGUUUUUCAAAUUUUUUUUUCCAGAAAACAAAAACUUUUUUCUUAUGGACGUUUUGAGUAAAAUAGGGAAUUUCUCUUUUCUAAUAUAUCGGUAUACGCUUACCACUAAACCGUCAUCUUAACAUUUUCUACUGUCGUCUCUAUCUCCCCAAGGUGUAUAUAUAUAUAUAUAUAUACACAGCAUAAUUGUCUCCAUCUCCUAUUUGUCAUAUCAACCAUCUCCAUCUUCUUUGUGAAACUAUUUUAUCUACACUAAAAUAUACUUCAGAUUGUUUUUAUUUAUUAUUUUAUUAUUUAUAUUAUAAAUAGUUUGUGCGUAUUAUGUUAAAUUUUAAAAGGUUAGUAUUCCCACCCUCCUUUGUAGCAGGUAUAUAUAUAUAUAUAUAUAUAUAUAUAUAUAUAUAGAAUUAGGCUACUAUACUAUCUAUAGUACCGGGGCUUCGGUACUAUAGUCUUGUUUUCGAUCUUAGGGUGUUCAAAUUAACGAUCCACAUUGUUAAAAAUGAUCUACGGUAUAUGAAGUUCUUAGAAAUAAAAUUUUAGUUUUUUUCGACAUCGUUUACUUAGUAAAUAAAUUAUGUCAAAAUGGAAGGUGGAAAUUGAAUAAUCUUUAAAAUUUGAGCAUAGGACUUUUAAAUUCAAGAUCAAGAAUGUUAACCUUAAUCUAGAUAGUUUAAAGUAUUUUCUAUCAAAAUUUGAAGAAAUUUAGAUUCUUCUACACCGUUAAACUCUAAAGUCGCCAUAGUAGCCAUUGAAAAUUGACAAUUUUGAAAUGGUUUGAUCAUAAAGUAAACUAUGUCGAAAAAAUAUAAAAUUUUAUUUCUAAAAACUUUAAAAACCCUAGAUCAGUUUUAACGGUGUGGAUCGUUGAUUUGAACACCCUAAGAUCGAAAACGAGACUAUAGUACCGGAGCCCCGGUACCAAGGUUUUAAGUGCCCGUCGGCACGGACCGUAUCCACUGUGCCGUAUCGUGCCCACAAGAUACCGACAUGAUACAGAUCCCGUGCCGAUGGCACAGCUCAAAACCCUCUAUUCUUUAAAUUAGUAAGUAAUUUCCUCAAUAAAGUUCAAAAGAUGUGAUAAAAAGAUAUAAUAAAUAGUUAGAAUAUUUUGUUGCUAAAGAAAAUAAAUAUUUCAUACUAUUAUGUGUCGGCAUGCAAGAAUUUUUUUGACCGGCACGCAUCGGCAUGGCUCGGCACGGCUCGGCACGGCUCGGCACGCACCGUGCCGGCAAGUUUCCGGCACAACCUCGUGCCACGACACUUAAAUCCUUGCCCGGUACUAUAGAUAGUAUAGGAGACUAACUCUCUCUCUCUCUCUCUCUCUCUCUAUAUAUAUAUAUAUAUAUAUAUAUAUAUAUAUAUAUAUAUAGUUGUGCUGGUAUGCUUCUAGUAUAUAUAGAGUUGUGCUGGUAUGCUUCUAGAAGCACGGAGGUCUCCGUGCUUCCAAGUCGUUUUCGAUGUUCGCACUUUCGAAUCGUUGAUCGGCUCCGUUAGAGUUGAUCUAGAGUAUUUGAAGUACCUAGAAAAUAAAUUUUGCGAUUUUUCGAUAUUAUUUGCCUAGUGAUCGAAGGGGCUCAAAAUCAAUAAUUUUAACGGCCGUGGUGAGCCGGUUGCAAGUUUAACGGUGUAGAAAUAUCCAAAUCACAUGAAAUUUUGAUAGAAAAUUCUUUAUACCAUAUAAAACAAGAUCAAUAACUUUGAUCUAAAAUUUUAAUGUCAUAUCAUCGUAUUUUGUAAGAUUUUUAUUUUCAGCCGUUGAUUUUGAGCCACUUCGAUCACUAGGNNNNNNNNNNNNNCCAAUCAACUUUUAAAACUAUGUAUGUAUGUAUAUAUAUGUAUAUAUAUAUCUCGAUCCGACCAUAUGAUAGCCAUCGUGCCUCCGGAGGUACGAUGGUUCAACAAAAGUUACUACGUCGAAGGUUUAGCUGCUAGCCGAAACAAUCUGAACUAGAUGUGAUAAUUUUUAUAAACCUUUGAUUUAAAGUAUUAAAAAGUCGUAGUUAACCAAUCACUAGUUUUCCAGAGUUUUAACUGUUAAAAUUACCAUCUACACUACGUAAACAUUUAAAUUGCCACAUUUUGUUAGGUUUAGUUUACUUUAAAAAUAUCUUUUAAGAAAAAUGAUAAAUCUCAUUCUAGUCAUGGAGAUUAGAAUUUAAGUUCAGAAGAUAGUAGUAAAAAAUACUCUAAAAAUAAAAGUCAGCAAGUAAAAAUCUGGUGAGCAAACUAUCCAUUUACUAUGACUUUUUAAUACUUUAAAUCAAAGGUUUAUGAAAGUUAUCACAUCUAGUUCAGAUUGCUCCGGCUAGCAGCUAAACCUUCGGCGUAGUAAUUUUUGUUGAACCAUCGUUCCUCCGGAGACACGAUGGCUAUCAUAUGGUCGGAUCGAGAGAGAGAGAGAGAGAGAGAGAGAGAGAGAGAGAGAGAGAGAGAGAGAGAGAGAUAUAUAUAUAUAUAUAUAUAUAUAUAUAUAUAUCUCGAUGAUAUGAUAGCCUUCGUAUCUCUUAGACUAUGAAAGCUAAAAAACCGGGAAUUUAGUUAGUGAAACUAGUAAAGAUUGGAAACCUAAUUAUGAUAAUAGUACACCGUUAACCGUAACCUGUAUCCUAAAAUUUCAUAGGUUUAAGUUUGUUUUAUACAACCCGGUACAAAGUCCUUUUGUUUUUUUUUUCUUGGUGUUUUCUAGGUUUCGGGUAACCCCGAAUUUGGUGUAAAGUAUGUUAUAUGUAUUAUGUGUGACCCGGAAUAUUUCGGGUAAUUGUAAAAUACCCCUGAUCUUUUAAGAUCUUUUAAGUUCACAUUAUACGCUGUAACCGGGUCUAGUCAAUCCAACAAACCCUAACGUCUCUCUAACGCCACUCUUUUAUGAUGACGCCGUUUUAUGAAAUAAAUAAAAACAUUGAUUAUCGAACAAAUAACGAGCUGUAUAGCGUUAGAAUACUCAGUUUGUUUCUUCGUGUAGAAACAUGCGAAAACGAGGUCGAGACAAAAUACUCUUAGUAUCAAGACAUGUAGCAACUCUAAAGUUUCCCACUAGUAGGGAAAUCUAAUAAAAUUCAAUUUACAUAAAAAUACUAAGAGGUCUCAUGGUUGAUAAAGUCGAAGAAUUAAGCUUAGUUAUAAAUUUAUAGCCGACUUACUCAGGUCAACUUAGCACUUAGUUACUUAACCACCUUAACAGGCUUGGCAACCAGCUCGGUGACCAGCUUGGCUAUUUUGGAAUUAGACUAUCGCAAAAACGCGCACAAUAUAUAUUGAAAGAAAGAAAAUACGGAUUCCAAAGACACCUACAAAGUUUGUUUUACCGAAUCAACUGGUUUCACAAACUUAUGAAUUGUCAUGACAUGAGUGGUUCUAGUCUGUUUACCCAUUCACGGGUUCAAUCCGUUUGAUUUCAGUUUUGGAUAAGUUGAGUCGUUGACAACUUAAUUACGAAAAAAAAAAAAAAAGGGGUCAGUUUUACCAGUUGAAAACUUUUGUGGUUACUGAGUACUACACAACUACACACACAUACGUAUGUUAAUGUAAUAGAGUAACAGGGGUACGUUGGUUUAAAAAUAGUUGGUUUAAAAUUUUUGAUUCAUCAACUUCUGGAAAACACAUCACUCACCUGUACAAUUAAACGUAACGUUAAUUUAAUAAGGGUAACAUCUAUCAGGAUGAUUCUUGUAUGGUUUACCUAUACAUUAUUACUGUCCAUCUUCUUUGGAAAAAAGGGGGGGAAUUAAUAACUUAUUUUGAAAAAUCAUGGUGUAGAUAAUAACCUACGAUACUAAUAAUAUCACGUUAUUAAUUGACACCCUCGAAAAUUAUUAUAGAUGGAAGAUGAAACCGGAGAAGACGAAGAGACCCAACGAAAAGUUGGAACACAAGACGAUAAUUUUUGGGGUAUUUGAAAAGUAUAUUCUUAGUUAAAAAAUAAAGAUCUCAAAACCGGUGACAAGAAAGAAUUACAAUCAACUCGUUAAGUCUACGGGAUGAGAUCAGAAGUUAUAAAAUAAUUUAAUAUUCCAUGUUGUAUUUUAACAUCUCAGAAAAGGAAAAAGGUAGUAUACAAAUAUUAUAUUCAUAUGCAUAUUGUUGAAGGUGGCUAACAUGAAUCACGUCAACCAAUUCUUAAAUUACCAACCAUAGGCUCUAAAAUUCAAGUUUUAGAUUAACGAAA